rnacentral:lncRNA from 1 species
CCUUUUCCUCUAAGAUUUUCUCUAAGGCUGGCCGGUUUGUACCCUUCAAUUCAUCCUAAUAUUGGUCAGUCCAAAAAAUAAUUUUUGUUAGAUUUUACAAAAUCUAUGGAUUCGUCAGUGCGCACAACUGCCAUUGAAUAAGAAAUCGACACUAAAAAUGUGUCGCUAUCGAUUUAGAAAUCGAUAACGAAAACUUUGUCGUUGCCAAUUCAAAAAUCGACAAUGUACUUUGUUGCUGCCGAUUCAGAAAUCAACAACGUACUGUGUCGUUGCUACUUCAAAAAUCAGCAAUGAAAACUAUGUCGUUGUCUAUUUAGAAAUUAACAGCAAUGGUGUAGUCGUUUCUAGUUUUCCCUUUACCCCUUUGUUUGUGUUUACAAAAGCGCACUCAGAAAGAAAGAGAUAUGGCUAGAAAGCGCAAUAUCCAAUAUGUGAGGGCUAGAAAGUGAACUGAGAAUGAAAAAUAAAUAGGGCUAGAAAGCGCACUAUCUGGAAAACGAGGGCUCAAAAGUGCCCUAAAAAAAAAGAUAGGGUUAGAAAAUGCAUUAUCUGGAAGAUGAGGGCUAGAAAGCGAACUCGGAAGAGAUUAGGUGACCUGCUCAUGUGAAAAAAGAUUUUUUAAAAAAAGAUUUUUGAAAUGGUCAUAUUGUCAUAAGUGACUUGCCUAGGUGAAGAAUACAAAUUUGUUUUUCAAAUUGUCUCAUUGUAAUCUUUGUAUUUUCCUUUUGAGUAGGUCGCCUAUUACAAUGAGACCACUUUGAAAAACAAGAUAGGGCAUGAAGGUACACUAUUUGAGAGAGAGGGCUUAAAGGUCCACUCAAAAGAAGAAGUUAGGGCCUAAAGGUGCACUAUCUGAGAGAUAAGGGCUCAAUGACAUGCAUAAAAGAAAAAGAUAGGGCCUAUAGGUGCAUUAUCUGAGAGGUGAGGGCUUAAAAGAGAUUUUUCGGUAAAACACUAGUUUAUCAAAGAUCAAAGUAUAAUGCAUGAUGAUCAAUAUGCAUGUAUACCUACCUAAGAAAUAUAUGUCCCCUUUCUUCAUGAACUUUCCCCUUCUAUAGCAAGCUUUGAUGGCUUUUUUGGUUUUACUUACUCGAGUCAUAACUUGUGAUUUUAACCUCUGGAAAGGGCAUGAUAUCAGCAUACUUCUUUGCCUACAAACCUUUAUCUCAAAGGUUGUCAUCUCUACCCUUGACCUUUUUUCGAUCCAUGGAUUUCGAGACCUUAGGAUUGACUUGUAAAAUGGUACAUCGUGCCCCCUAUUGUUGGGCUUGGGCUUUUUCUCUUUUUUUUCUUCAUUUUAUUUUGAGCAUCAUCAUCAUAUUAACUAUUUUUAUGGUAUGCUCAAACCUUCAAGACUCUUUGGAUUCUUUCAUGCCCCCCUCAUAACUUUGUUUAGGCACCUCUAAUCAUGACUUUUUUUCAUAUUUCUCGUACUUGCCCCUAGUGUGGGGUGUGAUUUUUUAGCCUUGUGAAAUGAUUAUCAAAUAUGACCUCUCUUCAAUUCAAACAUAUGCAUUUAGGAUGAAUAAGCUUUUGAACACAACAAUUACUUUUUACAGACAUGACAAAGUCAAAACACUUUUGUAGACAUGAUCAAACAAAGGCAAUUACUUUUUGAACACUAUAGGAGUAGGCUUUAUCUUUCAAUUCUGAUACAUCUUUCUUUUGGUUAGCCUCCUCAUGAAAACACUUGUAGGUAUCUCCUCUAUAGUAUGAAUAGAAACUGAGUGCUUGCUCAAGUAAAGUAGUGAUGCGACCCACGCUAGCUUUCAGAGACUCCAAUUCUUCUUGGAAAUGAUCAUUAUGGUAGACACGCUCUUUGUCUUCUAUAUUUCUUAGUCUAAGUUGGGUGUUGUAGACUUUAUGGAUUGGAGCUCUUUGGGGACCUAUAUUUCAACCUGAGGCAUGUAUAAAUAUAUAUAUAUAUAUAUAUAUAUAUAUACAUAUAUAUAUAUAUAUACAUAUAUACAUAUGUAUGCAAAUGUAUGCACAUUGGGUAUAGAUUAACCUGUUUGAAGGGCUAAUCCAUGACUUCUUUAUUGAAUAUGGACAAAAAUAUGUAGUUUAUUUAAUCUGAAAGGAUCUUUUUCAAGUCCUUAUCUCAGUUAAUAUACAGUGGAGAGUACAGGACAAAAAGGUGGGUCUGAGCCCCUAAAAAUAAUUUUUACGCACAACAAUUCCCCCCGGCUAAUUACAUCAUCUCAAAUUCUUACACAUAUUCAGAAAAAAUCAUGGUUUUAGCUUAAAAUUAGACAAUCAUGUGAAGUUUAGAAUUAUUGAUCAGAUUUGCCUUGAUGCAAAAUGAAUUAUUAAGGAAUCCAUACCAUAUAUGAAGGUUUUAGGCCAUUAUAUGAGGGGUAAGCUUUCCACUUGGUCUCAAAAGAGUUUAUGAUUUACCAAGUGACCACCUUUCGGGAAAGGAGUAUAGGGGUUUAUAAGGAAUGGUUAGGGUAUAGUGUGACCGUCAUUACCAAGUAAACGCUCAGCUCAUAGUUGGAUGUUUCACGAGUCUAAACCCCGACUGAAAGUAAUGAGACAAACCGCUACUCCUCACCUAACCUAGAAUCAAGUUUAUUCGUAAAAAUUAAAAUGCAUGAAGAUAUUAAUCCAUACCCGACGUACUACUGCAUAAGCAGUAUGCAAAAAUGCAUUUUAAAUAUGCUAAAAUUAAACAAACUAAAAUAAACAGGAAAACAAUUAACAAGCAAAGUUUAGUCUAACCAAAUAAGGUAUUACCCAGCAGAGUCGUCAUCCUGUUGUAACUUGCAUGGCGUCGAAUGGAGGGUCUACCUCUUAAGAGUGGUGAAAAUAGGGUUUUAUGUAUAAUCAUAAAGUUAUGGUUAUGAAGUUCAGGAGUCACCACCUAUUAUUAUGGUUACUAGAAAACCUAUGGUCUACGAGAGUCUAGAUAAGAGAUUGGUUGUGCAAGGAAAAAAUGCAUCACCCUAGUGCACCCUACCUACAGUAGACUGCAUUGUUGUUUGAUUGUUUUUCUGAUCCAAGUUUCGAUUCGUUGGUCUUAUCUAAGGUUCAAGACAGAUCUUUCCUCAUGAGAAAAUAUUUACCUUAUCGGGUUAAAUCUUAACCAUUCUAAAGGUCAGACUUAUUUAUUUCUUGAAUAUAGCAAAGUCAUAGUAUUCUGAAUUACAAAAUAAUUGUUAUGGGUUUUUUUAUAUUUUAACUAAACCCUAAUGCAUUAACCUAGUUAUGAUAUUUAUUUUUUUAUUUUUUAAAAACAUGAUAAAAAUGUGAUUUUAUCUUUUAGAAAAAUUCAUGAAAAACCUUUAGAAUUUAGUCGUAUGCAUGAAAAUCAAAAACAUUUUUUUUAUUGUUUUUGAAAUUUUUUUUUCAUGUUUCGUAGGAAUCCGGAUAUUUUUAAUAUCAGAUCCAUAUCUUACAGUGUAAGUCUACAGCUUGAUAUUGUGCAAAAUUAUUGGAAAUACAUACAAGGGACCCUUAAAUAUUUUAAAAUGCCCCAUUAGAAAAUCUAAAUUUUUUCUGCUUUUUUUUUAAAUAUUUUUUAAUUUUUUAAUAUUAUUAUAUUAUUAUUAUUUUAUUAUUAAAUAUGUGUUAGACUAGACUUGACCUAGCCAUUUCAACUGGUCUUAAAAGGGUUCAUCCCGACUCAUUCUAUUUAUGUCGAUUGACUGCCCUACAAACCUCUUUUUUUAAGAGGGGGAUGGGUUGCAACAGGUCCAACCUAGAUAGGAUGGCUUGUUUGAUGGCCCAACAGUCUUUGCUUUUCCUUUAUUUUUUUAUACUGGACCAGACUCGGCCUAACCAUCUCGGUUGGGCUGAAACAGGUCUAGCCCACGGUCCACAUGGUUGUCGGCCCGACCCAACGACCAUGUUUAUUGUUUUGCCAUUGCAUGCAAAACCAUGCAAUGCCCACCACCCAAGGGGAAACAAGAGAAAAGGAAGAGAAAGGCUUGUGUGACUGGAGGAGAAAAGGUGUUGGUGGGGUUCCUGUUUUGUUAAUGUUAUAUUUUUUUAAAACGUAAAAAAAAAUAUUUAAGCAUUUCUAACUUUUUUUUAAGAAAACAAAUUGCAUAGAAGUUGACCUGAUGUGACCUGGUCAACUUGACGGGUACCAAGAUAACCCAAACAACCAGUAAAAACACAGUUUGACUAAAAAAAUUCAAGACGACAAGUUUUUUAAAAAUAUAUUAACAUGACAAUAUAUAUUGGAUUGACUUGGAUCAACCUUAGUUAAUCUGUUAAAUUUUCAACCAUGAUUAUAAAAUCAUAAUAACCCUAUAAAAAUAAAUCAAAAUAAAUUAUCAAAUUUAAUUCAUAAUAACCCAAAUUUUAAGGAUGAAAUUAAAAAAAAUAUCAAUUAAAAAAAUAUGUCCCGAAUCAACCCAAGUUCACUUUCCAAACUCGCAACUCAGGUCAUGAGACCGUGAUAACCCCAUAGAAAGCAAAUCAAGAUAAAUUAUGUAAUUCAAUUCUCAAUCAACCCAAUGUUAUAUAUAUAUAAAGAACUAAAAAAUAUUAAACAACUCAACUUGAGUUAACCCAUCAAAUUGGUGACUUGAGACAUGAGAAAAUGCUAAUCUUAUAGAAAACAAUUAAAACAAACCAUGAAGUAUAAUUCUCAAUCAAUAAAAUAUUGAAGAAUGAAUUGAAAAAAAAUCAAUAAAAAAAAAAUUAAAAUUAAGUCAACAAAGUUAAUUUGUCAAAUUCGUGACUCGUGUCUUAAAGUUAUGAUAACUCAUAGAAAGCAAAUCAAAUGAAAUCAUGAAACUCAAUUCAUAAUCAAUAAAAUAUUGCAUGUUGCAUGAAGUAAUUGAAAAAAAAACAAUGAAAAAAUAAACGAUAAACAUAAAUCACAAUUAAAUUAACUUUUAAUCCGGUUAAUGAAAUUGUGAUCAUCAAUACAAAACAAAUAAAUAAAAAAACAUAUAUCACAAUUUAUAAUAAAUAAAAUGAUGAAAAAUAAAAUAAAAUAAAUAGUAUUUGGUGAGGUGAGGAGUUUUGCUAAUGUUAAUUACAUAUCCAAUGAAAAAGUGAAAGGUUGUUGUUUUGAAUAAGCCAAGCUUCCCCGUCGGCAACUUUUGGCAGGUUUUAGCAGUACACAGUUGGCGCUGCUAAUUGAAUAGAUCCGUAAUUUUGUUGUUUUCAAUCUGAACUAAUUAGAUGAUUGAGGAAAGCAUGGUGGUAAUUAAGAGUAAGGACACCAUUUAGAAUCAUAAUUAUUCUUUUCAAAUUUAUUUUAAAUCUAGUUAAGCUCCAAGUCUUUCAUUGUUCGGCAUCUAAAACAGAAAGAGAUGUUAAAUCGAAUCUGUCAAACAAGAAAAGCUGUGGACUGAUAUCUAUAAAUAGCAAAUCAAGUUCUACCAUUUCUCCAUCCCAAACAUUAAUCUUCAAACUCAAGCUUCUCGACAUUUAUCUACACAUUUAACUCUUCUUCAUUUGACCAUCUUCAAACUCCAGCAGAUAUACGUUAUCAUGGGAGUUUUCACUUACGAAUCAGAGGCUUCCACAGUGAUCCCACCAGCCAGGCUGUUCAAGGCCCUUUUCGUUGAUGCUGCUGAAGUCAUGCCCAAAGCCCUGCCACAGACUAUUAAAAGCAUUGUCACUCUUGAAGGAGAAGGAGGCCCUGGAACCAUCAAGCAAACUUAUUUUGGCGAUGGUCAGUACGUAGCUUCACUAGUAGUCUGAUACAUGAUUUCCGUAACAGUCACAAUCCAUCAUUUUGAAUAGAUUGGUUUCACUCUUUUGCUCCUCCUAGUAAACAAAAAUGAGCUAAAAAACUAACAAUAUGGAUUUGCAUUUUGAACUUUUGACCAAGGUCGAGUCUUGCAUACAUAUGAACUAAGGAACCAUGCAUGCUUGUUGAUUCCUCAGGUAGCCUAUCUUUCAAGGAGAGGACUGAUGCUAUUGACAAGGAGAAUUUGUCAUAUGCGUACACUGUGUUCGAAGGUGCUGUCUUGGCAAACACAUAUGAAAAAAUCUUCAACGAAUCUAAGAUUGAAGCCUCCCCUGACGGAGGAUCGGUGUGCAAGACCAGCACCACAUACUACACUGUUGGCAACAUGGACGCAAAAGCAGAUGAAAUUAAGGAUGGACAAGAAAAGCAAAUGGGAUUAUUCAAGGCCAUUGAAGCCUACCUGUUGGCAAAUACUGAUGCUUAAAUGUGCGUUCCCUGAAGCUGGUCUUGACGUUUGUUGUAGAGUUCCUGAAGCUGCAAAAUGGUAAUAAACAAUCUGUGUUGAGUUCUACGGUCUUGUAAUUUUCAAUAAUAUUAAAAAUAUUUGGUGUAUUGUUUGUAAGAAGAUAAUUGAAAAUCCUCACGAAAAAUAAGUUUUUACUUGCAAAUGAUUUGGUGGACGUACAUUCUUCAAUUUGGCAUCUUACUAAUUACAUAAUCAUCAGGGAGAUGUUUCUUAAUUCAACAUAUUUACAAGAGAACAUGGCCCAAAAAUGAACGAAGACCACAGAAAGGAGAUUUCAUUAACAAAGUUACUCCUACGUCAAAAUAAAAAAUUGAAUAAAUCGACUAAUCAUAAAUAAUUGUCCAAGAAUAUUUUAUAUUAUUUUUCUUAUAGUAGUAAUAAAUAUUAUGUAUAAAUAUAUGUUUAAGACUAUUUUUCAAAGCGCUAUAAAGAGUGUUAGAAAGAACAAUAUCAUUAUAAAAUUUCUUAUAUUUGCUUGUACAACCCAAUUACGUAUAAUCAGUGUAUUGUUAUUAUUAUUUUCAAAAUAAAUGGAGUUAGAAAACAUCACAAUAGAAGCUUUUAUACUUAAAGCCUAUUUGAACUUCUUGUGUUGUGUUGUGUUGUGUUUAUUGUAUCGAGUUGUGUUAUAAAGUUAGAUAAAUCAAACUAUUUCGGUAAUGAAUUGUUGAGAUACAUUUUUUUAUGAGUUACAUUGAUACCAAACACCCAUGAUGAAGUGUUUGUUAUUGUAGAAUUUUUCAGAUCUUGUCUCCCAGGUGUAUAGGCUGUGUCAAAUCUACUUUAGCUUCUCAUUCAAUUUGCUGUGAUGUGUAUUGAAUGACAGAUCUAUCUUUUAAAAUUGAUAAAAAGAAGGUUUUGUGUAUAAUUAUAAAAUUAUGAUUAUAAAAUUUGAGAGAUGUCAUCUAAUAUUAUGGUUAUUAGGAAAUCUAUGUUAUGCGAGAAUCUGAGUAAUUGACUGAUUGUGUAAGGGGAAGACGCAUUACUCACAAUACGACCCAUCUAAGGUAGGCUGUAUUGUUAUUUGAUUAUUUUCCUGAGUUAAGUUUCUAUUUGUUGGUCCCGUCUAAAGUUCAAGGCAGAUCUUCCCUAGUAAGAAAGUAUAUACCUUAUUGGAUUAAAUCUUAAUCAUUCCAAGGGUCACACUCUUAGAUAUAACUAAGUCCUAGCAUUCCGUAUGACAAAAUAAUUGUUAUGGUUUUUUUUUUAACAUUUUGGUCAAACCCUUAUGAAUAAUUAUAAACUAGUUAUCCAUUUUUUUAUUUAAAAAAAUGAUAAAAAAAUGAUUUUAUCUUUUAGAAAAUAUGCAUGAAAAACCUUUAAGAUUUGGUCGUACGCAUGAAAACUAAACAAUUUUUUUAAAAAAUGAAAAUUUAUUUUGGGAUUUUUUUUGAAAUUUUGUUUUAUUUCUUGAAGUUUUGGAGGAAAUCGGGUAUUUUUAAUACCGGUUCUGUAUUUUACAGUAUAAGUCUACAACCCGAUAUUAUACAAAAUAGUUGGAAAAACAUGCGAGGGAUCUGUAAAUAUUUUAAAAUGCCACUUGGAAAAUUUGAAUUUUUUUCUUCUUUUUUUAAUAUAUAUAUAUAUAUAUAUAUAUAUAUAUAAUAUUAUUAUUUUAUUAUUAAAUAGAAGUUGGGUUGGACUCGACCCAACCAUCCGGCUAGGAUGAAACGGGUUCAGCCUACUGCCCACAUGAUUGUUGGCCCAGCCCAGUGACUAUGUCUACUGUUUGGGCAUUGCAUGCAAGUCUGACCAGAGGAGAAAAGGUGUUGGUGGCGUUCUUGGUGGUGCAGGGAAGUCCAGCGUGUGAUUGGUAGCGGCAAUGACAGUGGAGGAAAAAGGGAAGAGGUGGCCGAGAUGGGAGAAAAAAAUCUAGGGAAAAGAGCUAAUUUUUUCCAAAUUUGGCCUCAGAUUUCUUCCUCUUCAAUGUCUAGAAUCCACCCCUGUUUAUAGGAGGUGGAAGCGCGACACUUUGUCUUUAUUAGGGACAAACUUUGGCCCUUGUUUCAACUGGGAAAGAUCCUAACCAUUGGCUCAAAGAUGUCAUCAUAGUCUAUCAAAAUGGACUGCUAAAGGCUACCUAAGUUGGCCUCUUUGGGGCAGUGUCGUGGCGGCUGUGGUGUUAAGUAGUCGAAAAGAACAUUACCGGUGUGUAGUCAAAUAUCAGGCCAUCAUGGUGGUAUAUGUUUUGUCAAAUUUAGUGAAAAAAAGAAACAUUAAAUCCCCCUGAAAGUAGCCAUUCGGGCAACUUUUUUUAGUAAAAAGAAAAAGUUGAUGAGGUGUAAUAACCCGACUUUUUCAUUACCAAAACAACUAAAAUUUUUUUUUAUCACCAUAUCAUUCUGAAAAUUGAUAAACCAACGCCCACUUAUUAUCGUGGCACAAUCCAUAUGCAAUAACAUCACUCAACAUUUCUUAAGGAGCAGUUCUCACACAUACACAUAGUCACAUCUGCAUAAAUACAAGUUUACAUCAUAAUAUAUGUACAUAGUCAUAAGUGCGCAUACUAUGUAAUAAUAGUCAUUACGAGUUUAAAUAAAAGUACCGAGUAACAAUUAUACAUUAAUACAUUUUACUCGUACAAAAUACAUUGUAAUUUAAAUGCGAUUACAUAAUUCUUUGCAAAAGUAGGGUCCCGUGAAAUCGGGUUCCUAGGCACCUCGUUGGUGUGACGUCCCUGUUGCAAUACAAAUAUUUACAAGAAUUAUAAAUAAUUAAUAAUAAGCAAUUAAAUAGUUUAAGGAAAGCAUUAUUGUUAUUUUCUGUUUAAAGAAAAACAAUCGUGGUUCUUUCAUUUACUUGGUACACACAAAACGUAAUACACAUGAACGCAUCAAUUCUUGAAACUAACUCAUAACUUCCCAAUCCAGCUAUCCUCUUAGGACGCCCUUAAUCGAAGCUAAUUAUCAAUCACAACCCAGCUAUACUCUUCAGAUGGCAUUAGUCAGAACUAAUCAUCUAUUCAUCCCGGUCAUCCACUCAAGAUGCCAUUAGCCGAAGCUAAUCAUCUACUCAUCUUGGUGAUCCACUCUGGAUGCCAUUAGCCGAAACUAAUCACGUAUUCAUCUCAUUCAUCCCUUUAAAGUGUCAUUAGUCAAAGCUAAUUAUUUAUUCAUUUCGGUUAUCUACUUUAGAUGCCAUUAGCGGAAACUAAUCAUGAAUCACAAAACGAACACUCCCAUGACAGCUUGGUAUUCAUAAUAACACGAUAUUAUGACAUUCGUAAUAAGACAUUUCUUAGUCAGUUAAACAUGCAUCACAACACAAUAAUAUAUCAUCCUUAAACAAGUCAUUUAAGAACAUUAACAUUUUUUAUCAACAACUUAAUCAACAUUUCAUAGUCAAUUUAACAUUCAUCACAACGCAAUAAAAUAUCAUCCUCAACAAGUCAUUUCAGAACAUUAACAUUUUUAUCAACAACUAAACCCACAUUUUGUAAUCGGUAACAUUCAUCAAUAACUCAAUCAACAUUUUAUAGUCGGUUUAACAUUCAUCACAAUGCAAUAAUGUAUCAUUUUCAAACAAGUAAUUUCAGAACAUUAACAUUAUAUAAGAAAAAGGUGGAAGCCACCUACCUGUUCCAUCUAUGAGGUGUCCUUGUCCUAACAAAGGUCUAAUCCCAAUCACACCACCUAAAACAUCAAUGGCCACAAAUCAGUGCAUUCAUAUUUAGUAAUCACACCACUUGUCACCAUGCAUAUUUCCAGCAUACACAAGUUCAUAUUCAAGUGUUCCACAUAUUACAAUCACACAAUACAAUUAUUUUAAUCAACGAACCAAUCCAGCUAUGUAAAUCUGCUGCAAACUAAUUAGCGAAAAAUAGUUUGCUAGUGAUGCAGAUUCGUUAACGAACUGAUUUGCUGAAAUACAAAAUCAUCAGCGAAACUUGUUUGCUAGUGUUGUAGAUUCAUCAAUGAACUGAUUCGCUGGAACAAAGAAUCGUUAGUGAAACUGGAUCACUGGUGACACAAACUCGUCAGCAAACGAAUUCGCUGGAACACAGAAUCAUCAAUGAAACUAGUUCGCUGGUGACACAAACUCGUCAGUGAGUUAAUUCGUUGGAAUAUAGAAUCGUAACAAAAACUAGUUCAUUGGUAGAGCAAAAUUUGGCAACAAAAACGGCUUCGCUAGCGACAUAGAAUUCGACAGCGAAAACUAGUUUGCUACUAACACCACAAUUCGACAACGAAAACUGAUUCACUGCUAACAACAUAUUUAGCUUAAAUCGCCAGCCCACGUGGGUUACUAUUGACUAAAAAAUUGUUAAUGAAAGUCGAGUCGCUACCAAUUCAGAAAUCAUCAACGUAACAAAGUUUCACGGCUGACGCUGAAAUCGUCAACGCAUAUGGUUUACGACCGACGCAGAAAUUGUUGAGGAAAACUGAGUCACUGCUGACUUAGAAAUCAUCAACGCAACCCCUGUCAUUGCCAAUUCAAAAAUCGGUAGUGGCAAUGAAAUGUUUUUUGGUUUUACUUCUUCCCUUCGACCAAGCAUAAUGCUUAUGUUAGUCGUCCCUCUACCAAUGUUUCUCACCCUAGGUAGACAUAGAACUCACUAAAUCACACUCCAUUCAUCAUCAAACAACACAAACAUCAAUACAAGUUCAUUUAGCAAGGUUUUCCCAAUUCAUUCCUUCCAACAUUGGCAUCUAGCAUUGCUACUAUAUAAAUUCAUGCAUUCUCAAUUGCAUUAUGGUAAUGUACCAAUACAAUUCACAAACACAUGCUCACUUUCUUGAUUCACAACCAUACCUAUCCAUUCAACACAUCAAUAAACCAAAGCAUUAACUAGAAGGAGUCUCGUUUUAGUUGCAAUAUGUCCUUUUAAGGUUUACCAACAGCACAAGUGCAUUUCAAUAAUAUUUCAACACAUUUCCAUAGAUUUUGUCAGAGAUAUAUACAGAAAUUACAUCAUUUAUACAUGUAUGAUUCUAUUUUUCUAGUUCAAGUAUGACUCUAAAGUCUUGACAAGGUCAUCCUUCAAGUAUUUGGUCACUUAAGUUCAUGGUCUAUCCAGCCAUCAUUAUGGUCGACCAUCUAACUAGGUUUGUACCUUCAAAAUUGUCCAUCUUCCUUGUUGUAUGUUCUGGUUAUAGGUCCCUUAUUCAGCCCUAUUAUUGUCUUCCUUUUUAGUCUAGUUUUUCCCCUAGCAGCUAGUGUAAAAUUUUAGGCAUUCUCUCAUGGUUUUCUUCUUCCUUUCGAUUCUAAGGACUUAAGAACAGGUGGGGAAAAGAUUUGGUUCAUACAUUACUAUUUUCAACAGCUUUAGGAAGGGAUUUAACAAGUUUUCCUCCCUCCUCUACUCAUGGUUUUCUAUUUCUUCUUCCUUUCUGGUUUUGAUUUUUCCUUCCUUCUUUCUCUACUUGCACCAAUCGGCUUGUUGCACACCCUCUCUUUCCAUGGUUUCAGCCAUUUUCGAUACUCCUUAACUCUCCUUUACUCUCUAGGGUUCAAGAGGGAUGCAUAUAGCUAGGUUGGGGGUCUUCUCUUUGGGAAAUAUGGAGAGGUUCAAUUGCAUGCAACUGGCUGGUUUUGGGGAAGAGCAAAGGUCACCUUUUCUCUCUCUCCUUGCAUUUAUACCCCCCUUAAAUAAGGUGGGGUGUUUAGGGCUGGUUUAAAUAUGUUCUUGUCCCUGCUUUGAUUUCUUUAAAACCGGUUCCCCCCCCUCUCUUAACUCCUUAAGGCAUACCAGUUUGCUCCCCUAAACUCUUAUUUAGCAUGAGCCAACAUCUUACAUAGAUUUCUUUCGGGUAUUACAACCACGAUUGACACAUGAAUUUGUUAGCGCACACAACGACUGUUGAUUCAGAAAUCAUCAAUGAAAACUGAGUCGCUAUUGAUUUAGAGAUCGGCAACGAAAACUGGGUCGUUGCUGAUUCAGAAAUCGGCAACGACGGUGGAGUUGUUUCUGGCUUUACCUUUUUUUUUUGUUAGGUGAUUACAUUCUCUAAUUUAAUCCCUAAUUGAUCCCAAAACUUUGAUUUUCUUGUGAUUUUACCUUGAUUUGAAUCAACUGACUUUGUAAAAAUUAAGUUUGAUCCUCUAAAAUUCCAAUUUUCUCAAUUAAGCCCAAAUUGGGCUCCCAAACUUAAUGUUUCACUAAUUACGUGCCUAAUAAAAUUAAUUUGACCCAUUUAAAGUAUUAUUAAGUCCUUGCACUUAAUUAAAUCCUUUAAUUUGACCCAAAUUAAUUCUUAAAAAUAAUUAAACUUUUAAUUUAGCUCAUGAUUAAAUCAAAUUGGCCUAUUAAAAAUCUAAUCAUAUCCCUAGAAUUAAUUUUUAUGUAGAUUCGUUCAAUAACGAUUUGAUUUGACCUUGAAUCCACAUUAUUUUUCCAGUUUCUCCCAAAUCAUUCAAAAUUACAACUUGAUAUUCCUUUAAAUUUGAAAUCCUCUCAGCUUGCUUUUGCCAAAUCGUCAGUCUUUUUGCUAUUAUUAUUAUUAUUUUUUAAAAAGAAAAGGGGGUAAAAUUUUGGAGAAUAACCUAAAAAUAGGUUAUGACAGUUGCCCCCUCUCUUCAUAAUACUUACGAUAGAAAGUCUCAUAAGAGACUUUAGAUAGUAAACUUUGUAAGGAAGAAAAAUGAAUGAGAGAUAACGGAUUCACUAGAUCAAGAAAUGGUGAAUCCUUCUGAAAGUGUUUGAAGUGAGAGCUAGAAAGUGCACUCAAAGAAAAAAGAGAUAGGGCUACAAACCACACUAUCUUAUAUGAGGGCAUAAAGACAAAUAUAUAUAUAUAUAUAUAUAUAUAUAUAUAUAUAUAUAUAUAUAAAGGGGGCUAGAAAGCGCACUAUCUAGUAGACGAGGGUUGGAAAACACACUCGAAAAAAAGAGAUGGGGCUAGAAAGCAUGUUAUCCGAAGGACGAGGGCCCAAAGGCACACUUAAUGACAAAGAUAUAGCUAGAAAGCACAUUAUCCGUUAUGCGAGGGCUAGAAAGCGCACUUAAAAUGAAAAAUAAAUAGGGCUAGAAAACGCACUCAAAAUGAAAAAUAAAUAGGAUUAAAAAGCGUACAAUCUGGAAGACGAGGGCUCUAAAGUGCACUUAAAAUAAAAAUAGAUAGGGUUAGAAAAUGCACUUUGUGGAAGAUGAGGGCUAGAAAACGCGCUCGAAAUAGAUUGGGUUUGUAUAGUAAAAGAUGAUAUUUAUGAAAAACUGAAAGAUUUUUUGAAGUAGUAUAGUUGUACUAGGCAACCUUCCUAUUAAUAAAAUUCAAAGAUUUUUAAAAUUGUCAAAUUAUCACGAGUGACUUGUCCAGGUUAAGAAUACAAAAAAAAAAUUCAAAUAAUCUCAUUGUAAUGAGCGACCUGCUCAUGUGAAGAAUUUAAAGAUUUUUCAAAAUAAUCUCAAUGAUCUAUCCAAAAAACAAAAUAAAAAAUUUUCCAAAGAAGAGAUAACGGAUUCACCAGAUCAAGAAAUGGUGAAUCCUUCUGAAAGUGUCUGAAGUGAGAGCUAGAAAGUGCACUCAGAGAAAAAAAAGAUAGGACUAGAAACCACACUAUCUCUUGGAUGAGGGCAUAAAGACAAAGAUAUAUAUAUAUAUAUAUAUAUAUAUAUAUAAAGGGGGCUAGAAAUCGCACUAUCUAGUAGACAAUGGUUGGAAAACACACUCAGAAAAGAGAGAUGGGGCUAGAAAGCAUAUUAUCUGAAGGACGAGAGCUCAAAGGCACACUUAAUGACAAAGAUAUGGCUAGAAAGCACAUUAUCCGUUAUGCGAGGGCUAGAAAGCGCAUUCAAAAUGAAAACUAAAUAGGGCUAGAAAGCGCAUUAAGAAUGAAAAAUAAAUAGGACUAGAAAGUGUACUAUUUGGAAGACGAGAGCUCUAAAGUGCACUCAAAACAAAAAUAGAUUGGGUUAGAAAAUGCAUUAUGUGGAAGAAUGAGCUAGAAAAUGCACUCGGAAGAGAAUGGGAUUGUAUAGUAAAAGAUGAUAUUUAUGAAAAACUGAAAGUUUUUUUGAAGUAAUAUAGUUGUACUAGGCAACCUUUCCAUUAAUAAAAUUCAGAGAUUUUUAAAAUUAUCAAAUUAUCACGAGUGACUUGUCCAGGUGAAGAAUAUAAAUUUGUUUUUCAAAUAAUCUCAUUAUAAUGAGUGACCUGCUCAUGUAAAGUGUCGCACCCCACAUCGCGGCGGCCUUAAAAAAUUAAUUCUUUGGAAAAGAACAGAUUUCUGGCAUCCUGUUCUUUAAUGGGGAUAUUCUUUGUUUAAGGAGUCGCCACCUAGUAUUAUGGUUACUAGGAACCCUGACUGGUCAGCAGAGAUUCUAUGGUACGGGACUGGUUACGCAAAAGGGAAGAUAUUAUCACCCCUCAAACGUCCUGCUUGAGGCAGGCUGCAUUGCUGGUUUUGUCAUAAAUUGCUAAUGUUUUGUUGGUUUAUGCUAUGAUGGUUUGCGUGUAAUAUUCCUGACUCUGACGCUAGUGAAUAUUUAACUACAAAUAUUUCCAACUCUGGCGUUGAUAAAUAGUACGUAGCUAUAAAAUAAAUUUAAAUCCGUAUUUUUUUAUUCUUGACUCUGGCGUCAGUGAAUAAACAAAUCAAAUAAAUUUAUUUUUUACGCAUACACAUUUUUUAUGUAACUAAAUAAAAGUAAAAUACAAUAAAAUAAAAUAAAAUAAAUUUACAUCAGUAUCUUUAUUCCUGACUCUAGCAUCAGUGAAUAAACCAAUAAAUUUACUUUAUUUUAUUUUAUUUUUGCAUGCAUAUUUUUUUUAUUUUUAUGUAAUUUAAAUAAAAUACAAUGAAAUAAAUGUGAAUCAAUAUUUUUAUUCUGACUCUGGCGUCAAUGAAUAAAAACAAUAAAUUCAUAUUUAUUUUUUUAUUUAUACAUAAACACAUCUUUGUUUUUUAUUUUUUUUACUUUUUAUUUUUCUAUAUUUUAUUUUUUUUAUUUUUUGGGGCUAGGCUCAGCUCAGUCCAUGUGGGCUGGACUCAGCCAGCCCGGCCCGGUCACUGGCCCAAGCCAGUGGCCUGGCUGGGCUGAGCAACACGCGUGCGUUAACUGGAGGCGAAGGCGCGCGGUUGCUGAUCAGCCUGCCUCUUUCUUGCUUUCCCUGCCUCUAGUCUUUUUUGCUUCUCUUGUUCUCCUUGUCUCUUCAAUGUCUGCCUGGUGCUGGAGCUUGAUGACGAAGACAAUGGCGGAGAUGUGUUGAUUGGCCAAAGCGAACUUCUCUCCUUUUCUGUUUCUGUCUCUACUGUAUGCUCCCUUUUGUUUUUUUUUUGUUCGCUCCUUCUCAAGCAAUAAAAACAAUGGCUCUGAAAUUGGAGCCACCGAAGAAGAGGUCGAGAGCGUCUCCUUUUGAAAUUGGGUCUGGGUUUUUGCUCUGGUUUUCGGUCUGUGUUGCUCUAUUUUUUUUUUCUGUCUGUGGUUGCUGAGAGACAGACGAAGACGAUGAUAUAUGUAGGUGUGAUGGCUAAAAAAAAACUUCCCCCCACCUCUGUUUCGUUCGUUCUCUGUGAUCUCUCUGUUUUUCCCCUGUGUUUUUCUGUGUGUCCCCUGUUUCUGUGCUCCUCUUGCUUCUAUUUUUUUUUCAUCUCUGUUUCCCCCCCUUGUUCUACCUUUCUCCUCUGCUCUCUUCUGUGUGUGUGUGUAUUGUAUUUCUACGUGUUUCUCUGUUUUUUUUUUGUAAUGUCCUUUUUUAUUUUUAUUUUUUUGUAGGUUUCGAGUAAUGGCUUUCUUCUAGAGUUUUUUUUUUAGGGUUUCUCUCUAAUCGUCCUCUUCUUCUUUUUCUUCAUACCCUGAGAUCUGUAUUUAUAGUGCCAGAGUCCCUUCGCGUGUGAGAAACCAAGUUUCAAUGAAACUCAUUCUCUUCUUUGAAGUUUGAAUUUGAUUAAGAAUCAAAUUUGAAAGCAGAUAACUAUCCUUAUCUUAAAGACAAGGAUUAUCUCGAAGAUAAAGAUUAUCUUGAAGAUAGGGAUUAUCUUGAAGAUAAAAAUAGAAUGACAAAAGCACAUUGUAGUCCUUAAUUUUCACGGAAGUUGACAAAUCACACUUUUCAUCGAAAUAAAUCUCUGAUCUUUUAAUUUUUCAUUUUAACCCUGUAAAAAUUAAAUUAAAAGCCAAAGGGCCAAAAUUGGGUUAUGACAGUUGCCCCCUCUUUAUAAUAUUUACGAUGCAAAGAUAUUGAAAAUUUUCAUUUUCUUUAGCUUUAUGUAGUAAAUUUAUAAAGAAAAGUAGAUACGGAAAGAAAUUUUUUUUUUUUUUAGUCUUGAAAACUUCGAAAACAGUAGAUUGACAUAUGACUUUUACAGAGAGAACAAGUUAUUUGGAAGACGACCCAUUUUUUUUGUUUUUUGUUUUUUUUUUUUUUUGAAAUGGAUCAAAUUGUUUUGGGCAAUCUGCCCAAUGAUAAAAGAAAUGCGAAGAAUUUCGCGAGUGAUCUAAUUGUUCCAGGCGACCUACCCAAUGAUUGAAAAAUACGAGGAUUUUUUUUUUGUGAUGGUAUAUUGUAAUGGGUUACCGGCCCAGAUGGUCACAUUGUAAUGGGUUACCUACCCAAUAUAGGAUGGUAUAUUGUAAUGAGUUACCUGCCCAGUAUAGGAUGGUAUAUUGUAAUGGGUUACCGGUCCAAAUGGUCACAUUGUAAUGGGUUACCUGCCCAGUAUAGGAUGGUAUAUUGUAAUGGGUUACCGACCUAGAUGGUCACAUUGUAAUGGGUCACCUGCCCAGUAUAGGAUGGUAUAUUGUAAUGGGUUACCAGCCCAAAUGGUCACAUUGUAAUGGGUUACCUGCCCAGUAUAGGAUGAUAUAUUGUAAUGGGUUACCGACCCAGAUGAUCACAUUGUAAUGGGUUACCUGCCCAGAUGGUCACAUCGUAAUGGGUUACCGACCCAGAUGGUCACAUUGUAAUGGGUUACCUGCCCAGUGGAAAAAUACGAAGAUUUUUCAGAUGGUCACAUUGUAAUGGGUUACCUGCCCAGAUGGUCACAUUGUAAUGGGUUACCGGCCUAGUUGGUCACAUUGUAAUGGGUUACCUGCCUAGUGGAAAAAUACGAGGAUUUUUUUUUUAAGACAUGAUAGGGCUCGAAGGCGCAUUAUUCAAUAGAUGGAAGCUUGAAGGAAAUGAGGGCUCGAAGGCACACUCAAAAGGAGCUAGGAUAGGAAAUGCACUACCUUUGAUGGUCGAGGGCUCGAAGGCGCUCUCGAAAUAGAGAUAAGACGAGGGCUCGAAGGCGGGCUCAAAUGGAGAUAAGACGAGGGCUCGAAAGCGCACUCAAAUGUAGAUAAGACGAGGGCUCGAAGGCGCGCUCGAAUGGAGGUAGGAUAGGAAAUGCACUACCUUUGAUGGUCGAGGGCUCGAAGGCGCGCUCGAAAAGGAGAUAAGACGAGGGCUCGAAGGCGCGCUUGAAUGGAGAUAAGACGAGGGCUCGAAGGCGCGCUCGAAUGGAGGUAGGAUAGGAAAUGCACUACCUUUGAUGGUCGAGGGCUCGAAGGCGCGCUCGAAAAGAAACAAGAUGAGGGCUCGAAGGCACGCUCGAAUGGGGAUAAGACGAGGGCUCAAAGGCGCGCUCGAAUGGAGAAUGAAAGGUGGUGGGAAAAUACAGAUAUUUUUCAGGUGGCCUAAUUUUCAUGGGCGGCCUGCCCAGGUUGAAAAAUUCUCAAAAGUGAAAAUUUUUCAAAAGCUAUUUCAAUGUUCUCCAUUUCAAGUUGGCCUUCCGCUUGAUGGAUUCUGUUAGAAUUUUCUCUAAUAAAAUUUACAACACUCAUUGUCCAAUGUCUCAAAGUUUAAAUGAUAUGCAUGCAUCUUUACCUGAUUUGAAAUAUAGACCCCCCAUUUCUUCUUAGUCUUCUUGUUGCUUGGUUGGUGAGAUCUUGCUAUCUCAUUUGAGUCAUCUUUGUCGUUUGGCUUUCUAGCCUACUCGAGUUGGCCUAUGUAAGUUUAUUUCCAGAUUUGUUUACAUAACUCAGCCUUUGCGGUGCCCAUCGUGACCCACUUGCUUGCUAGAGAUUUUCUAAUCUCGUCAAAUAAUUUGAGAGGAUUAUUCAUUACCCCUCGUCUCACUGCUAAAAACAUUCGGUAUCACUUGCUGAAAGGACCAAAAUGCCCCCUUGUCUUGUUGUAAGGGAUGAUAGAUUUUCCUUAAACACAAUGUUGUCCCCUUGUACUGGUCAUUGCCCCCAAGUGUGCUAUGUCACUGACUUAGAUGAAUAAUGGUUUUAAGAGACCAAUCUCUCAUUUCUCUCCUUUUCAAUUUGGUGAAGAAGUAUGGGUCUAGAAUGAAUCUUGAAAUCUUGAUCUUGCAUUUUAAAAACAAAAAUUAUUUCGAUGCGAGUCUAAAACAAUUUGCUUUUGAAAUGCAACUCCUUGGUUAUUUUCUUUCUUGAAAAAGAGAUUAUUUGCUCUUGUGUUUGGCAAUGAGGUCUUCGGUGAAAAUAUGUCAUGAGAUGACCUUUUGUUUCAAAGUGAAGGGCUCGAGAAAAAGCUUGAGGUUUUGUAUGAGAAAAACUUGUCUCUUUUUGAACAUACAUUUUUAUCAGCAUGAAUAAUAAUGAGUAGUUUGUUCUUGAUGUCAUGAAUCUUAUGAAAAAAAUAUUCUUUGCAUAUUGAGAGCAUUGUUUAUUAUUCUAGGUUGCUUGCUUGCUUGAUUAGAAAGGACUUCUACAGGCACAUAACGUAGCUGUGAUUUUUGGCUAUGAAAGAAGAGGAUUCAUAAGGCUCAAAGAGUGUUUUAGGGUUUCAAAAACUAAAGAUCACUAUCAACAGUUUGACUCUUGACGUCAUUUAUAUUUUCUUUUGCCGCUCUUCUUUGAUUUGCCCUUUUUUUCUUUUUUUUUCAUUGCUUUGCUAGAGCAUACUCACUUUAUCUUGGUUAUCACUUUUUCUUGUGAGUUGGGCAUCCCCCCUAGCAUUUGAGUUUCUUGGGCUCUUUUGCCUUUUGGCUUUCUCACGGCUUUAUUAUCUUUCUUAAUCAUUGAAAUUUCACUUGCCCCCAGUGUGGGGUGUGAUCCUAGUCGGGAUUUUUUCAUGAAAGAAAAAUUAUUCAGGCUCAAAAAGGGAUCGCAAGGGAUGUACUUAUUUCAGAAUGUGAAAGGAAUAACAAAGAUGGCAUUUCCUCAUUUCAAGCGCAAGCAGUUAAGAUCAAUAAACUUUGACCUCAUCUAGUGUGAUGGUUUGGUCUUUGCAAAGAUGCAUUUCAAGGGUCAUGAGCAACAAGUUCACUACAUACCAUUAUUCAUACAUUUAAAAACACAUUAUUCAAGAGUCAUGGGGUAAGGGUAUUUAUUCAUUUCUUUUUCUUUUUCUUUUUCUUUUUAGAGUUUAGUCACCUCUAUGAAGGAGUUGCUUGAUUCACUUGUCAUUCUACAAGUAGAAUGUCAAAAAUAUCGUUUUUGAGUAAACAUCAAAUUACUUUUGAAAUCAAAAUGCCAGAUCAAUUUUUCAAAACUCCAAUAGGGAAACUGAUUUUGGUAAAAGUAAUGAAUUGAAUCUAUGAGAUUGCGCAAGGCUUCAAAGAUGUGUUUGUGAGUCUUUAUAAGAAAACUCUCUCAGAAAAAUGAAUAAUGUUUGGUCGUAAACACGAUUGAAUGAUAAACUCAUUAUUUUCAUUGAAACUUUGGAAAAGAAGUUCAACAACAAAGAACUUCUGACAACAUUUUGGGCUAUGAAUACUGGCAUGAUAGCCUAUAAAGGGGCUAAACAUUUAACAAUCAUUGAUUGGAAUUUCUGGAAUCAUUCAUUCUCCUUGACAAGGGCAUCUCUUCAACAGUCAAUAAUAUCACCAUAGCUUUAUCUUCAAGAUAGUUGAUUUCUAUGAAUUGGUGUGAAGCAAUUAGCUAUAUGAACAAUAAGUGUCUUGGCAACCACCUUCAGUGAAACCCUUCUUCUCAGUCAGGUUAGCAAUCUUACCUAACCCAAUGGCUUGUUCAAUCCUCUCAGCUAUAACAACCAGGUCAGUGAAAUUUUGUGCAGAGCUUCUAACCAAGUAUUCAAAGUAUGGAGCUUUAAAGUUGUGGAAAACAAAUUGAUCAUCUCUUUUUCCAACAUAGGAGAGUUAACUUGUGCAGCUACCUCCCUCCAUCUUCGAGCGUAUUUCCUUAUGGACUUCUUGUUUUCCUUCUCCAUAGCUUGCAAGUUUAAAUGAUCAGGGUCCACGUCUAUAUUGAACUUAUAUUACCUCAUGAAGGCAUCAACUAAAUCCUUCCAUUUUUUAACCUUGGUAUUGUCCAACCGCAUAUACCAAGUGAAGGCACCAUCACUCAAGCUGUCUUGAAAGAAAUGAAUCAGCAGUUUCUCAUCAUCAGCCACCUUAGCCAUUUUGUUGCAGUAUGCUUUGAGAUGAGGGCAUUGAGUUCCCGUAUAUUUAACAAAUUCUGGCACUCUAAAAUUUUGGGAAUGACAGCGUUGGGCACCAAACACAUCUCAACAGCCUUUAUAGGAUCAUAUAGGUGAAUUCCCUCAAAUGCCCUCAUCCUUUGCUAUAGGGCAAUGAAUUUGUUCAGAUCAUCUUCUUUUACCAUCUUGCUUUUUUAAGAUUCCUUCUCGUUUGGCCCUAGAUUCUGUGGAUUUACGAGCAUAGGUUCAGGCUGAGCUGUAGAUUUUGCUUCUUCAGGUUUAGAUCUCAAGGCUUGUUCGAGUAGGCUAGUAAGCCUGACGACUUUCCAUCUCUUUUCGGUGUGGGGCUUCCAACUGGGCUCUUUCUUCGUUUUCCAUUUGUCUUUUUCUCAAAUGAUUGUUAUAGGUAGGUUUCAAUGGGGGACCUAUAUUUCACCUGGAGUGCGGUAUUAUGACAGGUCAUAAUUGUAUGUUCCAACAUGCAUGAAGAUGAAUACAACAUAUUGGGUAUGGAUUCGCCUUUUGGGGGGUGACAUAACGAUCGUUAUUCUUUAAAUGUGUGGUCAGAUCCGAAUCUGAUAUUCAUUGCAAUGCCGAGAGGAGAUCUGUUUAGCAUUUUGUCAUCUGAGCUUUCAGCCACAUUCUUGGUGUCUUUCACUAUGCAUCUAAUGUCUUUGAGUAGCGGUAUCUCACCGACAUCCAGUCUAGGGCAAUCUCCUCGGUCAUUUGCAAGGAUUCAGACUCGAAUCCAUACUCAACAGUUGUUAUCUUAGGAAUAUCGGUCAUUAUAUCACCCGAAAGCACGUUUAAGCUUAUCUCAAUGAAUUUACGCAGGGAUUAACCUAAAGGAUAGGUUCUAGUCAUUAAAUGCAUCAGGGUAGUUUUGCUAUCUAGUCUCAACGGUCUUUCACAUGCUCAGUGAUCGCCCUCGAAAGGUUGAUAUAAGGUUUACAAGCAGCGUGAAGAUAGAGGCCCUGAGUAAUAUCAGUUUGGCAUAUCGACCACUGUCAAGCAAACAAUCAUGUGAGAGUUGGAUAGUUUCGCGAGCCUUACCCAGGCUAAAGCCAUUGGGGUGCCGUUACUCCUCCACUUAUCUUAAAGUUGAUACCACAUGUAUUUUAAAAAUAAGAUGAGUGAUGUGUGAAAGCCUUAGACACAUGUCCAAUACAUAUGCAUGAUAAACAAUGAAUAACUAUGCAUGCUAAAACAGUAAAAAGAGCAAAAUAUAAAACUUGAUAAACACAAACAACACAACAACAGAAACACAGUACAACAAAACAUUUUUAACAAUAAAAAAGACAAAUAGAAAAGCUUAGUCCUAAGGUCCCCAGUGGAGUCGCCAUUCUGUCGCACCCCACAUCGCGGCGGCCUUAAAAAAUUAAUUCUUUGGAAAAGAACAGAUUUCUGGCAUCCUGUUCUUUAAUGGGGAUAUUCUUUGUUUAAGGAGUCGCCACCUAGUAUUAUGGUUACUAGGAACCCUGACUGGUCAGCAGAGAUUCUAUGGUACGGGACUGGUUACGCAAAAGGGAAGAUAUUAUCACCCCUUAAACGUCCUGCCUGAGGCAGGCUGCAUUGCUGGUUUUGUCAUAAAUUGCUAAUGUGUUUGUUGGUUUAUGCUAUGAUGGUUUGCGUGUAAUAUUCCUGACUCUGGCGCCAGUGAAUAUUUAACUACAAAUAUUUCCAACUCUGGCGUUGAUAAAUAGUACGUAGCUAUAAAAUAAAUUUAAAUUCGUAUUUUUUUAUUCCUGACUCUGGCGUCAGUGAAUAAAUAAAUCAAAUAAAUUUAUUUUUUACGCAUACACAUUUUUUAUGUAACUAAAUAAAAGUAAAAUACAAUAAAAUAAAAUAAAAUAAAUUUACAUCAAUAUCUUUAUUCCUGACUCUAGCAUCAGUGAAUAAACCAAUAAAUUUACUUUAUUUUAUUUUAUUUUUGCAUGCAUAUUUUUUUAUUUUUAUGUAAUUUAAAUAAAAUACAAUGAAAUAAAUGUGAAUCAAUAUUUUUAUUCUGACUCUGGCGUCAAUGAAUAAAAACAAUAAAUUCAUAUUUAUUUUUUUAUUUAUACAUACACACAUCUUUGUUUUUUAUUUUUUUAUUUUUUACUCAGCCAGCCCGGCCCGGUCACUGGCCCAAGCCAGUGACCUGGCUGGGCUGAGCAACACGCGUGCGUUAACGCACGCGAGUUGCUACACUGUGCAAGUGAAUUAAAAUUCACUUGCACAGUGUAAAUGCUAAUUAGCUGCAACAAAAUGAAGAAGUAGAAGCCGCUUACCUGGUCUGCUGGAGGCGAAGGCGCGCGAUUGCUGAUCAGCCUGCCUCUUUCUUGCUUUCCCUGCCUCUAGUCUUUUUUGUUUCUCUUGUUCUCCUUGUCUCUCUCAAUGUCUGCCUGGUGCUGGAGCUUGAUGACGAAGACAAUGGCGGAGAUGUGUUGAUUGGCCAAAGCGAACUUCUCUCCUUUUCUGUUUCUGUCUCUGCUGUAUGCUCCCUUUUGUUUUUUUUUUGUUCGCUCCUUCUCAAGCAAUAAAAACAAUGGCUCUGAAAUUGGAGCCACCGAAGAAGAGGUCGAGAGCGUCUCCUUUUGAAAUUGGGUCUGGGUUUUUGCUCUGGUUUUCGGUCUGUGUUGCUCUGUUUUUUUUUUUUUUUUUUUUUGCCGACUGUGGUUGCUGAGAGACAGACGAAGACGAUGAUAUAUGUAGGUGUGAUGGCUAAAAAAAACUUCCCCCCACCUCUGUUUCGUUCGUUCUCUGUGAUCUCUCUGUUUUUCCCCUGUGUUUUUCUGUGUGUCCCCUGUUUCUGGGCUCCUCUUGCUUCUGUUUUUUUUUCGUCUCUGUUUUCCCCCCUUGUUCUACCUUUCUCCUCUGCUCUCUUCUGUGUGUGUGUAUUGUAUUUCUACGUGUUUCUCUGUUUUUUUUUUUUGUAAUGGCCUUUUUUAUUUUUAUUUUUUUGUAGGUUUCGAGUAAUGGCUUUCUUCUAUAGUUUUUUUUUAGGGUUUCUCUCUAAUCGUCCUCUUCUUCUUUUUCUUCAUACCCUGAGAUCUGUAUUUAUAGUGCCAGAGUCCCUUCGCGUGUGAGAAACCAAGUUUCAAUCAAACUCAUUCUCUUCUUUGAAGUUUGAAUUUGAUUAAGAAUCAAAUUUGAAAGCAGAUAACUAUCCUUAUCUUAAAGACAAGGAUUAUCUCGAAGAUAAAGAUUAUCUUGAAGAUAGUGAUUAUCUUGAAGAUAAAGAUAGAAUGACAAAAGCACAUUGUAGUCCUUAAUUUUCACGGAAGUUGACAAAUCACACUUUUCAUCGAAAUAAAUCUCUAAUCUUUUAAUUUUUUAUUUUAACACUGUAAAAAUUAAAUUAAAAGCCAAAGGGCUAAAAUUAGGUUAUGACAUAAAGAAUUUAAAGAUUUUUCAAAAUAAUCUCAGUGAUGUAUCCAAAUAAAAAUAAAAAAUUUUCCAAAGAAUGUUUUGGAACAUCCCUUUUUUGGAUUUGGCAUUUUGAUCAUUCAAGACGCCCGCGCUACAGACAGCAUGUCCAGAUCAAUAGUUUAUUGAUCCAAAGUUUUGUCCUCUUCAUCUAUUUAACUAAUUAGAGAAUUAAUUUUGGUGAUUCACUAUGAUGGUUGUUUCAGGGGUAAGGACACCACCUAGAAUCAUCAAUGUUCAUUGAAUAUUUAUUUUAAAGCUAAUUGACAAAGCGUCUCAUCGUUCCAUCGGCAUCUAAAACAGAAAGAGAUUUAAUUCGAAUCUUUGGAACAAGAAAAGCCUCAAUCUGUUAUCUCUAUCAAUAGCAAAUCAAGUUCUACCAUUUCUCCAUCCUAAACAUUAAUCUUCAAACCCAAGCUGAUCGACAUUUAUCUUCACAUUUAAUUCCUCUUCAUUUGACCAUCUUCAAACUCUAGCAGAUACAUGUUAUCAUGGGAGUUUUCACUUACGAAUCAGAGGCUUCUACUGUGAUCCCACCACAGGCUGUUCAAGGCCCUUUUCGUUGAUGCUGCUGAAGUCAUGCCCCAAGCCCUGCCACAGGCUAUAAAAAGCAUUGCCAUUCUUGAAGGAGAUGGAGGGCCUGGAACCAUCAAGCAAACGUAUUUUGGCGAUGGUCAGUACGUAGCUUCACUAGAAGUCUAAUACAUGAUUUCCGUAACAGUCACAAUCCAUCAUUUUGAAUAGAGUGGUUUCACUUUUUUGCUCCAUCUAGUAAACAAAAAUGAGCUAAAAAACUAACAAUAUGGAUUUGCAUUUUGAACUUUUGACCAAGGUCGAGUCUUACAUACAUAUGAACUAAAGAACUAUGCAUGCUUGUUGAUUCCUCAGGUAGCCUAUCUUUCAAGGAGAGGACUGAUGCUAUUGACAAGGAGAAUUUAUCAUAUGCGUACACUGUGUUCGAAGGUGAUGCCUUGGCAAACACAUAUGAAAAAAUCUUUAACGAAUCUAAGAUUGAAGCCUCCCCUGACAGAGGAUCGGUGUGCAAGACCAGCACCACAUACUACACUGUUGGCAACAUGGACGCAAAAGCAGAUGAAAUUAAGGAUGGACAAGAAAAACAAAUGGGAUUAUUCAAGGCCAUUGAAACCUACCUGUAGGCAAAUCCUGAUGCUUAAAUGUGUCUUGUCUGAUCUUUUUCUUCAUAAGUUAGUGUUGAUGUUCGUUUUAGUGUUCCUGAAGGUUCAAUUGGUUUGGUAACAAAGAGUGUCUGUGUGUUCUUCAGUCCUGCUAUUUCCAAUAAUAUUAAAAGAUGAGUUGUCAUUCUUCUCUUGCUGUCGGUCUGCAUGCGUGGGUUCAUCUGUGCGUUGUGGACGUCCAGUUUGUUGAAAGUUAACAACUUAAGCUGGUUACUUGUUUUUAAAGCUUCAGAAGUAAAUCCUGAGGUUAUAACGAGAAAAAUGAAGAAAUAAGAAUGAAGAAAAAUGAAGAAAUGGAAGGAAUUCUGUUAAAUCAGUUAAAAAAACAAUUAAAACAGUUAUGACAGUUAUAGUCGGUUUUACUGUUACAAACCGUUUCUUACAUGUGUAAGAAUCGUAGCCCUCUAUUAAUGGAUAGAUAAGAUGAUCUUGGUUCCUAAAAUCUAGGAAUCAGUUACAUUGAAAGUGUAUAAAAGCAGAGUUUGUUGCAUUAAUGAGAUACAUAAUAUAAUACAAGAAUUUCUUCUCAUCUUCUCUGCAAAACUCUUCUACAAACUCUUCUUUAGAAACCUGAAAUAUCAAAUAUGGUAUCAGAGCUCUAAAACUGAUUCCUAAGAAGGGCGUAAACUGUAAAAACAGAUUGAUUAAACUAUUGAUUACUCAAAAAUGGUAGGAUCAAGCUUUGCUGGAGGAGAUCUAAGAACUCCACAGUUCAAUGGCACAAAUUAUGACUUUUAGGCUGUAAAAAUGGAGACAAUCCUCGUAGCAUUCGAUCUAUGGGACAUAAUAGAAGUUGGAAUACAAUCUCAUCAAUCACCUGAGGUUGCAAUUGGAUCAGACGAUGAAGAGAGUGAAGCUGAGCAAACUACAUUGCAAACAUCCACUACCUCCAGAGAAAACAAAAUCAAGAAUGCAAAGGCAUUAAGCCUCAUACAAGGAGCAUUAACAGAUGACCUUUUCUCACGCAUAAGAAAUAAGAAGACUGCAAAAGGAGCUUGGGACAUUUUGAGCAGAGAAUUCAGAGGAGAUAAAAAGGUUAGAGCUGUAAAACUUCAAGCAGUGAGAGCAGACUUUGAAUACCUAAGGAUGUCAGAGAGUGAAAGCUUAGAUGUAUAUCUAGCUAAAUUCUUUGCAACUGUGAAUAACCUGAAAUCAUUAGGAGAAGAUGUAUUAGAAAACAGAAUUGUGCAGAAACUGCUAAUGAGUCCAAGCAGAAGAUAUAAGUCCAUUGUGUCAAUCAUUGAAGAGACACGAGAUCUUAAGGUUCUAAGAGUAGAAGAAGUCAUUGCUUUUGUUAAAGUCUAUGAUAAGAGGGAGGAUCUCCAUGAUGAAAGGGAUAAGCUAACAGGAACAGAGAAGCCUUUAGCAGUGUAAAGGUUGGAAACAAUCAAGCCUACAGUUCAAACAAGGGUUUCCAAGGCAAAUCUACUCAAAGAUGACAAUCACAAGAUAGGAGGGGAUCAAAUUGGACUCCAAACAAAAACUUAAAUAACUACAACAAUUCAAACUGGAACAACACUGCUUGGGGAAGUAGUCAAGCGAGUGUAAAACCACAGUGUCAGGUCUGCCAGAAGCAACACUUUGGAUUGUGCAGACACAAAGGAAAACCAAGAUGUGGAAGAUGCAAUCGGUUUGGCCAUAUUGCAAAAGACUGUGAAAGUCACAGUCACAAACAACUAGCAAAUUAUGCAAAAGAAGAGAGAGUAUCCACUGGAACCAUGUUCUAUGCUUGCCAUUCUGCAAGCUUGUAAGAUAGAAAGAUAUGGUUUAUGGAUAGUGCCUGCAGCAACCAUAUGGCCUCUAAAGAAUUUGAACUAAUUAACAUCAAUAGAACAGUGACCUGCAAAGUAAAGAUGGGCUCAGGAGAUCUUGUGCAAGCAACUGGAAAAGACACAUUGGUUGUGGAAACUCAGCAUGGAAAAUAUAUAAAAAAGGUACUGCUUGUUCCCGGAUUGGAUGAAAAUCUAUUGAGUGUAGGCCAGAUGAUGGAGCAUGGUUAUUAUAUCCUUUUUGGAGGUAACAAAGCAAUGAUAUUUGAUGAUGAAAGCCUCAACAAUGUUAUAGCAAUAGUGAUCAUAGAAGGAAAUCGAUGUUUUCCACUUUCACUUGAGUCCAUCACACCUGCAGCAAGGAAAGCUUCAGUGACUGAUAACUUCUGGAUAUGGCAUAGAAGACUGGGACACCUGAACUUUGCUAGCAUGAAGAAGAUGCAGUAGAAAGAGAUGGUAUGUGGACUUCCUGUUCUGACAAAAAUAGAAGAUGUAUGUGCAGGCUGUGCUUCAGGCAAACAUCACAGGGAGAAAUUCAACAAAGAGCAAGCGUGGAGAGCAAGCUAUCCACUGGAAUUAAUCCACACUGAUCUGUGUGGACCAAUGCAGAAUGAAUCUAUGGGGGGGAACAGAUACUUCAUCAUAUUUAUUGACGACUACUCAAGAAUGUGUUGGGUAUACUUCCUCAGAAACAAAUCUGAUGCACUCAAUGUAUUCAAGAAAUUUAAAGCAUUUGUAGAGCUACAAAGUGGAUAUAAAUUGAAGAAGCUAAAGAGUGAUAGAGGUGGUGAAUAUAUCUCAAAUGAGUUUGAAGAAUUCGGUGUAAAACAAGGAAUGGAGAGGCAGUUGACAAUUGCAUACUCUCCUCAGCAGAAUGGAGUUGCAGAGAGGAGAAACAGAACAAUCUGUGAAAUGGCAAGGUCCAUGCUGAUAGAGAAAGAAAUGCCAGUAAUCUUUUGGGCAGAAGUUAUGAAUACAGCUGUGUAUAUUCAGAAUAGAUGUUAUACAACAUCUGUUAUUGAAAAAACUCCAUUUGAAGCCUUCACGGGAAGAAAGCCAGGAGUCAAGCAUCUAAAGGUGUUCGGUUGCUUGUGCUACACACAUAUCCCAUCAUCACUAAGGCAAAAAAUAGGAUAGAAAAUCUGGAAAGGGAGUCUUUGUUAGAUAUGGUAGCUGUGAUAAGGGGUAUAGAGUAUAUGAUUUGAAAUCUGAGAAUGUUGUUCUCUCAAGAAGUGUGAUUUUCAGUGAAGAUAGGUCAUGGAAUUGGGAAAGAAAUCUGAUGAAUCAAAACCACUUGUCUCUCAAUCUUGAAGGAGAUGAAGUUGAAGGAGAAAAUUCUGAAGAACACUCUACUGUAGCCCAACCCAAUAAUAUUGAACAUUGCCAUCAAAAUUCUACAGUUGGAGAGUUAGCUGAGAAUAUUGGCAGUAACAACAGUUAACAAUCUACACCUAGCUCUACUCUAGUAAAAUUGAAAACCUUGGAAGAUAUAUAUGCAAGGUGUCACAUGUGCAUCAUAGAACCUAAGAAUUAUCAAGAAGCUUUUAGAGAUAAAGCCUGGCAGGAGGCUAUGAAGAAAGAAUUGGAAGUGAUAGAGAAGAACAAUACUUGGAAAUUGAUGGAAAGACCGAUUGAUACACCUGUGAUACGAGUGAAAUUGGUGUACAAAACUAAGCUUCAUCUUGAUGGAACAGUACAAAAAUACAAGGCUUGCCUUGUAGCAAAAGGAUAUGCACAGAAAUUCAGAAUUGAUUACAAUGAAACCUUUGCACUAGUAGCAAGGCUGGACACAAUUCGGACUCUCAUUGCACUUGCAGCAUAGAAGGGGUAGAAGUUGUUUCAAUUUGAUGUUAAGUCAGCAUUUCUAAAUGGGUCAUUAAGGAAGAAGUGUAUGUUGAGCAGCCUGAAGGGUUUGAAGUAAAGAAUGCAGGACACAAAGUUUACAAACUAAGAAAGGCCUUAUAUGGACUAAAGCAGGCACCGAGGGCCUGGUACAGUGAAAUUGAUGCAUACCUCUCUAUGUGCAAAUUCAAAAGGAGCACAAGUGAAGCUACUUUGUAUACAAGGUCAGACCUGGAAGGUAAUUUGAUCAUUGUCUCAAUCUAUGUUGAUGACAUUGUGUACACUGGCAGUAGUGAAAGGCUGCUUAGUGAAUUUAAAAGAGAAAUGAUGCAGAGGUAUGAGAUGUCUGAUCUUGGGCUCCUUUAUCAUUUUCUUGGCAUGGGAAUACUGCAAAUCGAUCAAGGGGUAUUUAUUCAUCAAAGCAAGUAUGCUAAAUCCAUGCUUAGUAAGUUUGGACUUGAGGACUGCAAACCAGUCUCUAUUCCUUUAGCUAUUGGUGAGAAACUGAAGAAAGUGGACGAGAGUGAGUUGGCUAAUAAAGGUCUCUAUAGAAAAAUAAUAGGAAGUUUAUUAUAUUUGACAGCAACAAGACCUGAUCUAAUGUAUGCUACUAGUUUGUUGUCACGGUUCAUGAAUGGACCUACCAAAACUCAUAUGGGAGCUGCAAAAAGGGUCCUAAGAUAUGUGCAAGGAACUCUCAGUUAUGGCAUUGAAUACGUAAGGGAUCAAUCAGCAACUCUUAUUGGAUUUUGUGAUGCAAAUUGGGAAGGAAGUGAAGAUGAUAGUAGAAGCACUUCUGGCUAUACAUUCAGUUUUGGAAGUGGAGCAUUCUCCUGGGCCUUUGUGAAACAGAACACAGUGGCAUUAACAACUGCAGAAGCUGAGUAUGUCUUAGCAUCUGAAGCAACUGCUUAGGCCAUUUGGUUAAGGUUUGUUCUUGAUGAUUUUGGUGAAAUACAAGCUGAGGCAACACCCUUGUUCUGUGAUAACAUGUCAGCAAUUUCAAUGGCCAAAAAUCCUGUUUUUCAUCAAAGAAACAGGAAGUAUCAUUUCAUAAGAGAGGCUCUACAAGAGGGAGUAAUAGAUGUGAAAUUCUGCAGAAGUGAAGAAUAGCUUGCAGACAUCUUCACAAAAGCAUUGCCUAAAGACAAAUUCAAGCAACUAAGAUUGAAUCUUGGAGUUAAACCAGUAAGCAGCUUAGAAAAGGCUGUUGAAAGUUAAGAAGUUAAGCUGGUUACUUGUUUUUAAAGCUUCAGAAGUAAAUCCUGAGGUUAUAACGAGAAGAAUGAAGAAAAAUGAAGAAAUAAGAAUGAAGAAAAAUGAAGAAAUGGAAGGAAUUCUAUUAAAUCGGUUAAAGAGACAGUUAUGGCAGUUAUAGUUAGUUUUACUGUUACAAAUCUGUUACAAAUCGUUUCUUACAUGUGUAAGAAUUGUAGCCCUCCAUUAAUGGAUGGAUGAGAUGAUCUUGGUUCCUAAAAUCUAGGAAUCAGUUACAUUAAAAGUGUAUAAAAGCAGAGUUUGUUGCAUUAAUGAGAUACAGAAUAUAAUACAAGAAUUUCUUCUCAUCUUCUCUGCAAACUCUUCUACAAACUCUUCUUUAGAAACCUGAAAAAUCAAAUAAGUUGGUCUCUCUCUUGUUGCCGUUUAUGCUGUCGUUUUCGCACCCUACCUUGACCAUUGGUGCUUUCUGAGCAUUCUGCCUCUAGUGCGUUUACUGAUCCACCGCUUCAAUCAUGAUUAGGUAGAGGGUUCCUGUUCAUAUUAGGAGUGUCUUUGAAUGCUAUCCACCCAGCCUUGAUUAAUUGCUGAAGCUUUCUCUUGAAGGCAUUGCAAGUAUGAAUGCUAUGUCCGGGAGCACUAGCAUGGUAUUCAUAAGUGAGCUCUGGCUUGUACCAGCCGGGUUAAGUGGCUGCAAAGGCGCUAGAGGUUCGGGAGCUACAUGCCUGAUGCUUAAUAGCUUCUGUACAUUUCAUUCAGGGGCAGCGGUAAUGGAGGUAGUUGUUCUUGGACCCUUUGGUAAUUUCCAAUUUGGCUUUUGGCUUGAAAGUUUUGGGGCUCAGGUUUUUUGGUGGGAGGUGAAAAAUUGAUGUUAGUAAUUUGGGAUGGAGUGUGAUAGUUUUGGAAUGUGUUUUUCCUACCCCUAUAGUCAUCUCCAACAUGGUCGACCACCUUUCUUUCAAAGCCUCUUUUCUCGGGGGCUACCACAAUUCUACCACUUUUGACGCCUUGCUCUAUAUGCUCACACACUACCACAGCAUUAGUGAAUUGCUGAGCCGAACUACCCAUCACAUGCUCGUAAUAUGGUGCUUUGAGUGUGUCAGCAAAUAAAGUGAUCAUCCCUUUGUCCAGAAGUGGGGGAUUGACUUGAACAGCUGAUUCUCGCCAUCUUUGAGCAUAUUCCCUUAUGCUUUCUUUAUCCCCUUUCUCCAGAUUAGACAAGUUGGUUCUGUUGGGAGCAAUGUCCAUGUUGUACUUGUACUGCUUGAUAAAAACAUCCACCAGGUCUUUCCAUCUCCGGAUUUUUGUGUUGUCCAAUCUCAUGUACCAGCUCAAUGUUGCCCUACUUAAGCUAUCUUGAAAGAAAUGCAUCAGUAGUUUUUCAUCAUGUACUACUUCUGUCAUUUUAUUGUAAUAGGACUUGAGAUGAGUCAUGGGGCAUUGUGUUCCACUAUAUUUGAUGAACUCAGGAGCACAAAACUUUUUCGGGACAACCACAUUUGGGACCAGACACAUCUCUGCUGCCCGUACUGGAUCAUAUAAGUCUACCCCCUCAAUUACUCUGAUCCUAGCUUCCAGCGCCUCCAUCUUAUCUUGAUCAAUGCUAUCAGAUGACUUGGCCUUGUGGGACUCAUUAGCAAAUACAUCCAUGACUGCAGAAGCUGGUGCAGGUGUCGCUGAUUGCACAAAUGCUGGAUUAUGUUGAGGCUCUUGACUAUGUUCACUCAUUCUUUCUUCAGGUUGAGCUAUUGUUGGAAUCUGAUUAAAGGUGACUGAUCGGUUAGAAGGACCUUCACCAGAGGUAUUUCUCAAUGUUUGCUCGAGUAAGCUAGUGAGGCGAUCCACACUUGUCUUCAGAGACUCCAACUCUUCUUGAAAAUAGGCGUCACGGUGAGCGCGCUCUUCAUCUUCCAUGUUUCUCGCUCGAAGUCGGGUGUUGUAGACUCUUUGAGGACCUAUAUUUCAACCUGAUGCAUGUAUGUAUGUUAUUUACAAUGAAUGGAUGUAUGUGUACAAUGCAAAUGUAUAUACAUGCGUAUUAGGGAGUUCAUACUCUAAGGAUAUGUUGGGGCCAUUACAUGAUGGGUGGCUUUCUACCUGGUCUCAAAAGGGUCUCUUGUUGUCCCAGUGAUCACCCUCGUGAAGGCAAUAUAGGGGCUCAGUAGGUAGUAUGAUGGCAUAUGCACCAACCAUUACUAGUCUAAGCACUCAGCGAAGAGUUAGGGUUUACACAAACUUAAACCUUGACUAAAAGUCGUAAGGUAAGCUGCUAGUCCCCCACUUAACCUAAAGUUUUUUCAGUAUAAUUCCCCUCAAAUGUGAAUGAUGCAUGAAAUAAUUUUAUACAAUGCAUGAACAAAUAUGUACAAAAUUAAAGCAUAUGAGCAAAUGAGAAUGAAAGUUAACAAUAACACAAAACCAAACAAUAAAAAACGAUGAUCAGACAAAAACAAAGCUUAGUCCACAAGGUCCCCAGUGGAGUCGUCAUUUUGUCGCAUGUGUGCGGCGUCGCGGCGAUUGUCCUCCACACUCAAUUGUGUGUAUCUAUUUGGAAAAUAUGGAAAGAUAAGGGAUUCUUGUCUUUUAUCAGUGGAAAAAAAUGGAAUGGGAGUCGCCACCUAGUAUUAUGGUCACUAGGAACCCUAACUGGUCUCAGAGAUGAGGUACGGAGACUGGUUGCGUAAAAGGAAGGUAUUAGCACCCCAAAUAUGUCCUACCUAAGGUAAGCUGCAUUGUUUUAUUUGUCUGAUCAAAAUCUAAGGUUUGGUCGUGUUUUCUACUUGUUGGUCAUGUCUAUCUAAGAUUCAAGAAAAGCCCUCCUCACAAAUAUUUUUGAAUUUUUCUUUUAACAAAAAAUAAAAAAAAACUGGGCCGGAUCUAGCCAACCAUCCUGGGAUGGGCCUGACCCGGCCCAUAUACUGGGGGCUGGAUUCAACCCAGUUGCGUGGGCUGGGCUGAUAUGCCAGCCCGUAACAAAUAAAAGGGGCUAGUUACUGUGCUGCCCACAGUAACCAACAAAAUAUAAUUAGCUAGUUUUUGUGCACACCACAGUAAUUGGCUAAAUUAAUCUUCAUUUGCUGUAGAACGUAAACGUUCGGCAUGCAAAUGAAGCUGAAGCGAAAAAACGACGGGGGAGGGGGGAAAGUUUCCUAGAGCGGUGGCGACGCUAGAGGCACCGGAUGCGGCAGGGGUGGUGGUGUAGCGGGCGGCUGCUGUUACAGUUUUUUUUUCUUUCUGCUGCCUUCUGUUAUCUCUGCCCCUCCCCCCUCGUUUGUUUCUGUUCUUCCCCCGUUUAUGGUCUAGCGGUAGUGGAAGGUGGUCGGAGCAGUGGCUGGGAGGAGAAAUGACGAUGAUUCCAGGCGGUGGCGCGGCUGUCUUUUCUUCUCCUCCUCUGUACAGAGCCCGCAGUCUCUAUUUUUUUCUUCCCUCUCUGUUCUACCCCUUUCUCUUCUCCCUCUCUGGUUCUGCUGACGUUGGCAACGUUGAUAAUGGCAGGAUGACAGUGAUGUUGUGGCGGUGGAGAGGAAGCACAGCGGUAGUGCCCAGAGGGUGAGGACGGUUCUUCUUCUUCUCUAUGCAGAGACCGCAGUCUCUGUUUUCUAUUCCUUUCUCCCUUCUCUCGUCUCACUUCACUCUCUGUCACUGCUUUUCCUCUAUUUUUGGACGAUGAUGGUGUUGUCGGUGGUGGCUGAGAGGAGUGAUGAAGGCGCUGGUGGAGGUGCAACGGUGGCUCUUCUCCUCCCUCUUCGGUCUUGCUCUUUCACUCUCCUUUCCCCCUUCUCUUCCUUUUUCUUCUGUUUUGCCCGAGCUCCUCUCCUCUCAAAUAAACUCUCCCCCCUCUUUUAUGUUCUCCCUCCCCCCUCUUGUCUUCUCUCAUCUCUGUAUUUAUAGCUGCAGGAAGGGAGGGGCAACUUACCUCUGCCAUGGCGCAGGGUAAAGUGGUUAUCUUGCCCAUGUCUUGGUAUAGGGUAGGGUGGCCGGUCAUGGCUUGCAUUAAUGGUGGCAGGGUAUGGGAUGUGGCUUGUGUCCAGGUUUUGUGGGCAAGUGGGGGGGAAAAGAGAAGGAGAAGGUGAGCGGGAAAAAGAUUUCAAAAAUCUUCUUCUCCCUUGUCUCUGCAUUUGCAUGGGAGAAGAAGCUGCAUUGUGCCAUUCAAAACGGCACCAUGUAGUUUUUUUUUUUGAAGAAAAGGAAAAAAAAAUUAGGAGUGACCCAAAAAUGGGUUAUGAUAACCCUACAGGGUCUGUCAGGACCCAAUCUCGGUUGAUGACCCAUGACUGGGGUUCUACAGCUCUAUAUUGAGCAAGACCAAUUUUCUUAGUUAGCUAACAUCCAAAACUACAAUUACUAUGAAGAAACUUGAUCCUAAUUCUCUUAUCCUCCUACUCGAAUUCUCUCUAAAAGUUAGGAGACGAAUAUGUCCAGAUUCAUCAACCUUUUCAUUUACACACAAUAUCCACAAUUUAACUUUUCUCUUUUAUCUCAACCCCUAGCCAUAUCACAUAUUGUUUAAGAGUGUCAAAAAGAUAUCUUUAUAAGAGCCAAUUUAUCUUUUUUAUUUCAAUCUCCCCCCUUAACGUCAAAAUAAAACAUUCUUAUCGAUUUUACAAACUUUCCAAACAAUAUUCUUCUAAACACAAUCCUUGACAACAGUUUUAAUCAAUCAAAAAUAACAAACGAAUAAUAUUCCAAACAAUCCAUAUUGUCAAGUCAUAAUGUAUUAUUAUGAGUACAACAUAUCCAAAUAUUAACUUCAUCAAAUGGUGAAAUUUCUAGAAAUAUGGGUUUAACCGAUUUGACCUCAAACUUGCAAACCUACUGUGCGAGAUACACAACUUCUAUACUGAAUGUUUGUUUUCGAUCUGCACCGUUCAAAAUCUAGAGAGAAUCAGGAAGAACAACAUAUCCAAAUUAUAGCUUAAUCCAACGGUGGCGGAAGGAGAACGCAGACAGCAAAAAAGACUGUCCAUAAGUGUAUUUUCCCAGAUAUUUUCCUCCUUCAAUAUCUCUCAAACGGAGACUGAUAUAGAAAAUCUCUCCGAUGAAAAUGUACAUGACAUGGAUGAAAACAACAUAUUCGAAUAUCAUUCUGAUCCAACGGUGAAAGGUGGAGUUAUAGCUGUCAGAUGUUCUGCCAUCAAUAUGUCUUCUCUCCAGCCUCUCUCUAAACUCUCUCUUACUCUUGCCAGUCCUCCCAAGAGAGAAAAUAGAAUGAUAUUUAUAGUUCUAGCAUCUUGUUAAUUGCACAUUUAUCCCCACCCCUUUUUAUCAUUUGUACAUAAACUCUCAACCUUCUGUUAUUUGAAUAUUGGCCUCUCUUGAUCUUACGUAUUCAUUUUGUCCUCACAAAUGUUUUUCUUUUCAAUAAUUUAGUACUAUAUUCACUUUUUAUUUCAUUAAUUUCAAUAUUUUUAUCUUGAUUUAGGUUUCUUUAAUUUAAUUUAACCCAUUUUACUAUUGGUUAAAUUUCUCAUCUUUUAAAUACCUAGAAAAAUUAUAACCGGGGGUUUACAGUAUUAUUCAUAAACCUCACAUAGAGCUCCUGGAUGGUUUUAACACCAUCCCCACAUAUAGCCGGGGAUUGCUGUCUUUGUAUGUUUGUACAAACAUCUAUGUCUUGCAUGCAUAAAGGAAGCAAACAGAUUAGGGGAUGUUUGCUACUUUUUCAUGUAUGAAUCGAAAAAUCGGAUUAUAACAAUUUACAUUUAAAAUAUUUAUGUUAACAAUAACUAAUCAACUUGUUUUUAUUUAAUAACAGUUAUGGUCCUUGGUGCUUCAUGUUGGCCAAUCCCAAAUACUUAAAUUGUUGCUUAUGGUUAUCCAAACUAUGAGGGUUACAAUACAGCUUCCACUAGGAUGCAUGUAUUGCAAAGUUAUUUAGCAAUAUUGAUGCAAAAUUAUAUUGUCUAAUUGUAACUUUUAAAGAUACAAUUAAACUAACAUAUUUGUAAUACUAGGUGGUGUGUUAGUAGAAUAUUUUAAAAUAAUCUAACACAUGUAUUGACAUUUUAUUAAAAGGAGCUAGAUAGGCAACAUGUUAUCCAGGUAUUUUAGCCAUUUUUUAAAUAAAAAACAUGACUCCACCAAAUUGUAUUUGUUUGGUAUUUAAAAAACUUAUAUUAUAAAGGUCAUGUGGACGCUUUACAAGGAAGAAAGAUUGACAAUUGUUCCGGCUAUUUGCAUCAACGAGAUGGACAUAUGAACAUCAGUGGUCUCACUGAUAUUUUUUGAGAUGGUUGAACUGCAUUGCCUAGAUCAAGUUGACAUUAAUAUGACUGAUGCUUUGAACGCCAUAACUCGUUGAGGUAAAAAUGAUGAUUACGAUUGGUUAAGCCACCAUGGAGCUUAUGUACCACAAUGGGAUGUACGAAGAAAUGGUAUAUUUACAAAGAUGCAACUUGUGAUUACAGAUAAAAAGUAUUUGAUUUGGUAUAUGAAUAUCACACGUCGGGUCAUUACUCUAAAUCCUGAGUAGGUUCUUAUACUGGGUACAUGCAGUACGAGCAAUAUACUCAAUAGAUUCAAAAUAUUGUAAAUAUGUUAAAAAUUAAGUUUUAUGUAUUGAUAUUUUAUAUAACAUUAAUGUUUUAUUAAUAUUAGGUUAACUUCAUGUUAUGAAAGGAUCGAGAGAUCGCAUCAGUGCUUUGUAAUAUUGAUGAAGAAAAUGAAAGUUACACUUAUGUGUCCUGGUGGUUCAAUGUUUGCCGCACUGGACUUGAAAUCUUUAGAGAGAUGUUAAACUCUUGAUGAUGUCAUGGUAGAUGACAAGGCCACUCAAGCAGGUGCAAGAGCUGGAUCCAUUUAUGCUACUAACGAGCUUGAAUCAUCUAGUAGACGACGUAGAUGUAGAUAGAUUAAUUAUGUUUAUAUAUAAUGAGAUUUUAAUUACUUGAAUAUUGUAUUAUUGAAGUAUUUUAUAUUCAUUUUUUAUGUUAUAUAUGUUUUCUUAUUUUUGCAUUCCUAGGGUUACUUAUAAUUAUGAAAUGUGAGAGUUUGUUAAGUUUGGUGAGAAUUUAUUGAGUUUGGUUAUUGUGGUUUUCUACAGUUUUUUUAAGUAGGAUAAAAUUUUGAUAUAGUAUUUAUAUAGGAAAAACUUUGCUCAAAUUUUGUUAAAAGUAUAAAUUUUUUAACUCUCUAGAAUCAUUAACUAAAUUAAACGUUAGAUUAACAAAGUAAAUAAUAAAUCUCAUAAAGUGUUUUUUGUUAAAUUUAAAUUUUAAGAAAAUUUGUUGCUAGGAGAGAUAGUAGCCUGACUAUCAAUCCUCUGGCUAAAUGGUCGGCUGCUUGAUCCAAUUGUUUGGACCGGUCGAUUGAUCGAUCAAUUAGAACAAAAAUUACGGUUUUUAUGAAAUGAACGUUUUCUCCUAAAUAUAUCUUAUGCAACAAAAUAUAUAUCUUAAAAGUGUGUAUUUUGUCACAAUAUUUUGCUGUUGUGUUAAUUCGACCAUUUACUUGCAUUUUGUAUGCACAAUUUAACCGUUUGAUUUAUGGGUCCAGCAACAAACCUUUCUUCUAGUCUUCGGUCAGUUUUUGGUGAGGGCAUGGCAGAAGAAAAAUGCAAAUGGAUUGUUAAAUAAUGAAAGACCUGAAGGGCAUGGCCAGAGCGGCGAUGUCUGCGAAGUUGCUUGAUAAAACUUUGAAGAUGGGAUUGUUUAAUGGAAUUGCCUUCCUCAAACCAUUGCUCUAUAACUGGAAUCAUGGAGACCCUUUGGAUUUCCAGCCUCUCUUCAAACCAUGAUUCCUUUGUCAAUUGCCAGGCAAAGUCCAGUCACAAAAUUGUCUCCAGUUUUUAUUUUUUUAUUUUUUUAUUUUAAAUUAAUAUUUUUAAAUUAUUUUGAUGUAUUGAUAUAAAAAAAUAAUUUUUAAAAAUAAAAAAUAUUAUUUUAAUAUAUUUUUAAAUUAAAAAUAUUUUAAAAAUUAAUUAUAACUAUGCUACUAAACACCCCAACCGUCAAUCAUUUUAUGUACAAACCAGGUUCGAUAAAGAUAAAUAAAAAAAUAAAAAAAUAAAACCUUUCUCUGACAUGACAUGUAAUAUUUUAUUUUAGUAAUUAUGUCAAGGACGAAAGGUUUGCUGCAACAAUACACGGUAGCACCAGCAAACAGUCAUCAGCCAGCCACAUAAGCUGUUGUCAACACUAUUCAUUAACAAUAUAAUAUUAUAUAAUCUCGUAUCAUCUUGAGAUGGAUAAAACAAAGAGCGGAGAGACUCAUCCACAUCGCAGUGAGUCAACUCAUCAAUGGAAUAAGCCUAUUUAAGCAAGUAGUAAGGGAGAGAAGCAGCAAGGGAACCAUUUAUUUUGGUGGCUUGAAGUUGCAAGGGAGGUAGCUGGGCUGAGGCUGAGGUUGCUGCUGAUCAUGACUAACAGAUUGAGAAGAUCCCUUAAGAUCAAUUCUCUUUCGUCAAGCAGAGACUGGGAUGGUAAGCUAUACUAUUCUGUAAUUACAUCAUCAACUCCCCAUGACAUACAAUUACUUAAUUACUACUAGCUAAUUUUUUCUUUGAACAGAAGAACCAUCUGCCGCCAAAACCAACCGCCUGGAGUGGCUCAACAUCGACAUUAAUGGUACUGUUUCCAGUUGUUUUCUUACUACUUGCUUAAAAAUACUACUAGUGUUUCAUGGUCAGGUUCUCAAACCAAGUACUGGGAUGCUGCGCUAUAUAUACUACUUUUAUGGCUACUUCAGGAUGCUUGGAACAACCCCAUAUCAUUGAUAUAUACACAAGCUGAAUACAUUGACGAUGUAGAAAAUGCGAGCAAAAGAAAAAAGAAAAAACCAAGUAAUAAUAAGAUCAUCUUUUCUUUCUGUUGUUUUUAGAGAAUUCUACUAUUUUAGAGGAGACUGGGAGGGCAAGAGGGCAAAAAUUGAUAUACGAAGGGUGGAUGGUAAGGUACGGAAGGCGAAAGAUCGGGAGUACAUAUAUUCACAUGAGGUACUUCACCCUGGAGCCCAGUUUCCUUUCUUAUUACAAGAGGAGACCGAAAGAUAAUGGGGUAACUAUUUUUAUUUUAUUUUUUUGUUAAAUUUGCACUAGUUCUUUAAUAAUUCCCAAAGUUUAUUUCGAAUGAGUUUCUGGAAUUAAAAAAAAAAAAUGUAUCUUUUUUAUAUGGAUUUUUGUAUUUAUGGAAACGAGAAUGCAGGUAUGUUGUUGAGUGUUGAAGUCUUUGUCUAUUUUAAAUUAGGUUCCAAUCAAGACCCUUUUGAUUGAUGGCAAUUGUAGGGUAGCGGAUAGAGGUUUGAAGACUCAUCAAGGACAUGUGAGUUUUUCCAUUCAGAUAUAUAACUAUGCAUAGUUUUCUAAUAUAUAGGAUCAUUAGCAGCUUCAAUAAUUACAUCAUACUUUUUUAUCAGUUUCAUUUUUAAAGAAUUGGAAAGUUGAUGAAUUUCUUUUUUGAGUAGUGGAAGUUGAGGAAAUUUAAUGGGGUUGGAAAUUAUAUAUGUUUAAGUGACUUCAUGGUGAUGAUGGAUGUCAGUAGUAGUGAAGAUAGUUAAAUUGAUGUGCAUUACACGAAUGCACAUCAAUCCAAUUUCGUUCCAAAACAUAAAUAGAAGUGGUGGCAUUGCCAUGUUUGAAGGAGGAUAUAUCUUCUUAUCAGAAAUUUGCCAACUGUUUUGGUAUGCAAAUGAAUUGGAUUAGCCUCCAUUAGCAGAUAGGCUUCACACUAACUUUGUAUUUGUUCAUGUGAAUGUGGAUUUGUUUUGUGUUGAACUGAAUGUUAAACAAACAUUCCAAAUGCUUUUUUGGGAUUUUUUUUUUAACCUAAUGAAACUGCAUCUUGGGAAGCUGGUAAUUGUUUGGGUUUUUGUUUCAAUUACUGUUGGAAAAUUAGUUUGCUGUUGUCACUCUGGUGACUUUGCCUCUCCUUCCUCUCUUUCUCUUUGAGUGGUCCCUUUUUCAUGGAGAACCAGCUUUAGGGAGCUGGUGGUAUCUUAAUUAGCUGUAAUGUAAUUUUGCUGAUGGGAGAGUUUCAAUGUAAUUAUUGAAUCUACAAGUUAACCUGAAUAUUGUUUUCAUUUCUGCAGAUGAUUUACACUCUAUCUGUUUACAACAAGAAAGAAAAGAAUAAUGCAAUAACAGUGAGUAGUCUUUGCUCUCAGUUUCUGAAAUUCUUAAUGAAGAUAAUAUCUUUAGUAUCUGCCUUGGAAAUAAGCAAAAACAAGAUCUUUGUCUGAAUACAACAUUCUUAACCUUUUGCACUUCCUUAGCUUGCUGAAUUUGUUGUGGCAUCUGAAUUGUUUGUAGAAAAUGUUGAUCCGCAUGUGCUGUUUUCUUAUUUCAGUUGUCGGCAUUUAACAUCCAGGAAGCACUGAUCUGGAAGGAAAAAAUUGAAUCUGUAAUUGAUCAGGUCUCUAUACUUCAGAAUGUGUAAACUUUGUUAUCUGCCAGUCCUUAUAAUUCGAUAGCUUUUUCUCCUUCUGAGUUUUGGUUUGAUUCACUGGUAAAUAUAGGUGUUAUGAAAUCCUGGAUGAAAUAUCCUUGGUUAACCAUAAGAUGUUCCGUUGACUCUUUAUUGAACAUUUUCAGUUUCUAUACACUGACUGGAAUGAUGAUGCAUAUAAGACUUAUUGCAUGAUUUGGUUGCAGCAUAACACUGUUAGUGACAAAUAUGCCUCAUACAAGUAUGGAUCUGGCAUGGAUAAUGGGGUGACUGCUAGUUCAUCAGAAAAUGGAAGCCAGUGAGUGCCUGUUCUAUUUCUCUGCUAGUUUAGCUGUAAGAAAGUAGAUGCCUUCAUAGCAUUAUUUUCUGCCUGCUUUGGUAAAACUAUGUUGAUACUGGCAAACAUAUUCUGUAUUUUAAGGGAAUAAAUUGUGCAGCAGUUCACUUUCAUGUGUCUUUAUUAAAAGAAUUUCAUUACAUUUUAGGUCAGCCAUUUUCUACCACUACAAUAUUCCAGCAAUUGAUGUUAGAUUCAUCAACAAUUUGAACUGCUAUUGUAGCUAGUUUUAUCAGCUGCUCCAACUGCUAUGAAAGUCUGGAGGCAAUAUGCGUGUGCACUUUCCUGAUUUCUGAAUUGUCUGCAGGUUUGGUGAACAUGAGGAUGAAGACAACACUCAUACAAAUUUGUUCUGGAGAAAAACAAUUGGAAAUGGUUUUCAUGACUCCUUUCAUGGAAUUCAACUUAUUGAUUCAAUCUGUUUCCAAUUCUCAUUUGGUUCCUAACUGGCAGUUUCUCCUGAUUCAGUAGUGGACCGUACACCAGAAUGUGACUCAGAAUUGCCAAACCAGACUGCUAACAACCAAGCAUUCCCUAUAAAUCGUUGGCGUCUUCUAAAAUGCCAAAAUGGUGACCUAUUUCUCAUAGCUUUCUUUCAUCGUUUAAAAGUUCAUAUAUAGAAGCACAUUAAAGACUUGAACUGGGAAUUUGAUUGCUGGCUAUGUUACGGUGGUAUAGAUGAAUUUAUACUCAAGUUUUUUUUGCUGUACAUAUGACAGGACUCCGCAUUUUUGAAGAGCUUACUGAAACUGAUUACCUUGUAUGGAAUCAUUUGUUCAUUUGCUUUCUGUGUUAGACUUUGGUUUGCUAUGUAUGAGGCUUUAAUUGGUCUUGCCACCAUUUAUUGUUUCCUUGAUGCAGCUGAGGAGCUGCAGUCAAGCAAUGAAGGCUGUAGGUAUUGUUAAGGCUACAUGUGAAGAAAUAUUUGAACUUGUAAUGAGCAUGGAUGCAACACGGUUUGAGUAGGUUUUUUUCCCUUUUCACCCCAGAACUUAAUAUGAUGGUUUUAGAGACCCUGUUAAAUGUGUGCUUCCCCCUGUAGAUUGAUGCACUGCUGUGUGCAUAAUAUGGUGUUAAAUUCUACCUAUAUGCAAUUUACUUGAAUCUUUAAUUCUUAAUGUUUUAUUAACUUGACUUAUUCACGAAGAACUCCUGCAAAUACUUGAAGAGAAUUGCUGUUUGGUAUAUAUGAUUUUACGCAAUGUGCUAUGUUCUUCGUGUACUUUGACAAUUCAUGAAUGAUAUUUUUCUUGCCUUUUGCAGGUGGGAUUCCACUUUCCAGCAUGGUUCUUUAGUUGAAGAGGUAGAUGGACACACAGCAAUACUCUAUCAUCGUCUUCAGCUGGACUGGUUUCCAAAGUACUAUCAUCCCCUACACCCCCAAAUAAAUUGCUUCCUUGCCUAUGUCAAAAUAAUGAAUGCAUUUCAUAUGGAGUGUUGUUGGUCGUGUUUUCUAGUAUGAAAUUUCCAAAAUAAAGCCAUAGAAAAUCCAUAUUAAGCUAUAUAUCCUAAUAUUUUCCCUUCUUCUUUUCCAAGCCAUGUAUGCGCAAUAAUUAAUUGUGUUAUGAAAAUCUAAGUUGCUCUCCAAGUAGGGGCAUAAAUACGCCAGGGUUUAGCCAUUUUUCCUUGAGAAAGAAUAAGUAGGAUGUGUUUUACAUAACCUACAUCGAACAGUAUUUUUAAGAUUACUAGUGUAUAUCCAUAUUUCAAGAGUGAAGUUCCUUUCGUUCCUUCAGAAAUCACAUAUUAUCUUCUUCUGUCACUUACAUAUAAAUGGGUUGCAGGUUUGUGUGGCCCCGUGACCUUUGCUAUGUAAGGUAUUGGCGGCGAAAUGAUGAUGGAAGCUAUGGUAAAUGUUUUUGAUUGUCCAAAUCAAUUUUGAUGUUCUAACUUGUCACAAGCUUAACCUUCUUGUUAUUGUGCAGUUGUGUUAUUUCGUUCUAGAGAGCAUGCAAACUGUGUUCCACAAUCAGGUUAUGUGCGUGCUCAUGUUGAGAGUAAGUCUCAAAUUCCCGUCCCUUUGGUUUGUGUUUAGGAAUCUAUCAGCAGAGUUUCUGAUAGUUUUUAGCUACGUUCUGACUUACAGGUGGAGGUUUCAAUAUUUCCCCUUUGAAACCUCGUAAUGGGAGACCUAGAACACAGGUGCAGCAUCUUAUGCAGAUUGAUCUAAAGGGAUGGGGUGUGGGUUACAUUCCAUCAUUUCAGCAGCAUUGUCUUCUUGAGAUGUUAAAUAAUAUCGCUGGUGAGUUCCUUCUGUGAUUUACUCACUGAAAUCUGCCACUCUUGUCAGAAAUUGAUAGGUUUAUUUAGCCUUGUUGUGCUUAAAAGUUAAGCUGCUUUGAUCCAACAUUUUCUAGAAUAGAAGUGUUGUGGAAAAAAGAUCGAGCAAUUUAUCAUAGAAAAGCAGCUAAAAGCUAAGUGUGGAAGAAGCACCUCUUUUCCUGCUUCUCUUAUUAACCAUAGCAAGGCAAAACAAUAGUAUUGUAUGCUAAAAUUUCUCAACAUCAUAAAUUGUCAUUCUUAUAUGCUUUUGCACUACUUCCUCUCAUCUGGAAGUCUGGGUUUGGGGUUGGGUUGUAGGUGCUAAUUUUCCUUUUGUUUGUUUCCUUUAAUUAUUUCCAUUCUCAUCAAUAUUCUCAUCAAUAUCACAUCUUGUCGAAUUUACGUUUCUUUUUUUUAUUAUUAUUUCAUUAUUGAUCAAAUAGAGUUGAUGCCAAAGGCUAAGAAGUAAUGAAACAUGUAACUGUUAAAAGGGACAUGAAAUAUAACGAUUGAUUUGGCAAAGCGUACUCCACAAAACUUCACUAUAAAAAAUUGGAGAUUACAUCCACUAAUCAAACGCUACACAAAUACCUUAUUAUUGAAAACCCAGUUACAUCUAGAAUCUUCACAACUACUAGGCCUCGCAAAGGCAACCAUUUCACAAAACCCACCAUGGCACACACCAAAGAAUUCUACCAUCUAAGAUUUGUGGUUGCCGCCACACACCAUCAAUAUUAGAGGCGCACAAAAAUUAGCCACAACACAUGAUAUUUAUACUUGCAAUGAAGUCUUAUUUUCAUUAGGAAACAUACUUCAAGUCCAGCUCCAACAAGAAAAGUCUCUUUUCGUAAACAAAAUAUAUCAACACAUUUCAUUCUUGUUUAGGACACAACUCCAUGCAAUUACCAAUCUUACCUAAACCAACUCACCAAUUUAAGCCACAACUCAGCAGUAACUUGAUGUUUCUAAUUCCUGUUUGGUCAUUGAGUAAGCACUCCUUCAAUCUCAAUGCUCCAUUUUUUCUGGUUUAGUAAUGGUUAUGUUGCCUUUUCUGACAGGACUACGUGCAUGGUGUGCCCAAAGAGAUGAAAGAGAUGCCCAUACAAGAAUCCCAGCCAUAGCCAUUAACACCUCAGGUUAUGUUUCACCCCAAAAAACUGCAAGUUCUGCACUGAUGGAUGAAUACUCCGAUGAGGAUGAAGAAUUUCAAAUAACCGAGGAAGAAGAAGAGGUAUGGCUGACAUCUUGUCCUCAUACGAUUUCUACAUCAACAAUGUAAACACUACUCUUUUUUCUUAAUUUUCAGAAUAACCCAACUCAGCAUAAGAACAAUUCAAAGAGAACAGGUGGAUGAUAGCUGCAACAUUUCUUUGUUUUGCUCAUUUUAAUAAGUUUAAUCUUUUAUGGAACUGUUUGAGAAUUUAAAUAACAAUCGUUUAAACAGUCUUGGAGGAACAACCAGUGGAUCAAAUUGAUUUAUCCUGUUUUUCUGGUAACUUAUGUCAUGAUGAUCAUGACAAUGCCCAUGACUGCUGGCAAAUAUCUGCUGGAGACAACUUCAGCGUUCGCAGCAAGCGUUUUUUUUAUGACAAAUCAAAGGUUCCCUGCCAUUUUUCUCUUUUUUUUAGUAAGUACAUCGGGAGUUAGAAAGUCAUCAUCUUAUGACCUUGUUUAUCUUGCACUUGUUGCACUCUAUGCAAUGUGCAUAUGAAGGUCCCUGCUGGAAAACAUUUGAUGGAUCUUGUUGCUGUGGAUUGGUUCAAGGACACGAAAAGAAUGGACCAUGUUUCUAGGCGUCGAGGUUCUGCAGCACAAGUAAAGACCUUCCAGGCUCCCCCCUCUUCUCUUUUGGUGCUGUUCGUUUCACAACUUCAAAACACACUUUUCUGAAAUAAUUUGUUCUGGUCUGCCAAUGGACCUUUAUUAAAUAUAAAUAAUCUCAAUACUUUAUCCAGUUGGUGUUGGUGGGCAGAGCUGCUUUUGACCAUAUUUGUAUCUGAUUAAUCCUAAGAGUUGAAAUAGCUUGGUCACCCUUGUCCAUGUUGAUUGAAUAAUUUUUAAGAAGUCCAUGGUUGUCAAUUGUAUGAUGGCGCUAACUUACCUAUGCACUUCUUUAAAUGCCUGUGUAGGUUGCUUCUGAGAAAGGGCUUUUCUCUGUGGUUUUUAAUCUGCAAGUAAGUUUAUUCUACCAGGUGGUGUGAAUUUCAGUUGCUCCAUUUCAACAAUGAACAACUGUGUUUUAUCUCAUUUAUCACAGGUACCUGGUUCAACACACUACAGCAUGGUAUUUUACUUUGUGACGAAGGAAUUAGUACCUGGAUCUCUCUUGCAACGAUUUGUUGAUGGUGAUGAUGAAUUCCGAAACAGUAGGUUUAAGCUUCUUCCAUCAGUUCUCCAGGUAGUGUUUUUGAAUCCUGCAGGGUUCAUGGAUAUGUGCAAUGAGUUCAGCAUGACUAAGUUGCUUUCUAUAUUGAACCAUGCAGGGUUCAUGGAUUAUGCGCCAAAGUGUAGGAAGCACUCCAUGUUUAUUGGGAAAAGCAGUUGAGUGCAACUACAUCCGUGGUCCCAAGUACCUGGAAGUAAGCACCACACAAAUCUGUAACUGUAGAAUUGCUUGAACAACACAUCAGCAUCGUCUAAACUGGUUUUAUGCAUCUGUAGGUCGAUGUUGAUAUUGGUUCUUCCGCUGUUGCUUCUGGAGUUCUGUGGCUUGUAAUGGGCACAAGUCCAACAUUGGUGGUUGACAUGGCUUUCCUAGUACAGGUGUGUCAUGCAGGAGGCUCUAUUUCAUAGAACCAUCUCGGUUAUUUAUAUGACCAGGAAGGCUACCAACUGAAAUUACGGACAUUGCAUUCAUACUCAUGAGCAAGCUACAAGGUUUAAGAGGACAAAGCCUUUAUGAUCACUUUCUAGGAUUAGUAUGCUAUGUUGUAAUAAAAAAAAAUUCUCUUGGUUGUUCAUUAUUCUAAAACAAGUUUCAUCAACACUUUGAAAAUAUGAAAACCAAGUUUCGCUAGGAAAUUUGGUCUAGAAGUUUACUUUAAGAGAGAUUUGAUCGAUUGAUUGGGGGGAAAAUAGUAAGGUAAAACUGAAACAGGAAACAACUUAUCUCAGUUAUGAUGCAUAGUCACUGCCCUUAAAGAAUAUGUUUAACAAAAAAAUGAAAUGAAAAAAAGCACUUUGGAUGUCUCUUUCAAGCUCCCUUGGUAAUGUUGCCACUGCAUGUGCAUCCUUUCGUGUUCUACAAUCCUUGUAAUGCUUCAUCGCUCAUUUCAAGCGGGGCUAGUGUGAGAGCCAGGGAAUAUUGCUCUGGCUGCAUUUUGGUAAUUGCUGGUAUGGUAACGAUGCAAGCUGCUCUUAUGCUUUGAGAUUUAUGUAUAUAUAGCGAUGCAUGGAGAGGCAAUACUAAAUCAUUUACCGUGGAUCUGUUCAAAUUUUACCAUUCUCCUUUUAAUUUUCCCCUUUUUUACAGGCAAAUACUACAGAAGAAUUGCCAGAGCAGUUGAUUGGUGCUGUCCGUGUUUCUCACGUUGAGCUUUCAUCAGCUAUGGUUCCCAGAUUGCAUCCAGAUUCUUCAUGACUAGCAGAGAUCAUUCGCUAUUGAUUUUGACAAUAAAUCAUUUCUUCAGACUUAAAUAUGCAAGUGUUUUAUCACAAAAAGGAUAUAUAUAUAUAUGCAUGCAUGUGUUUCAUUCCAAUUUCAUGAAUUGUUUUGUAUUGAUCAAGAGUAGGCAAAAGUACAAAACUACUGAAUCAGAUGAUGGCAGGGGGAGAAGAUUUAUCAUCCACCAGCGUAGAAGGAUGAAAUUCCAAGAUAACAUUAUGACAUCAAAUCAUUGUAACAUGAGAUUAUGGUUCAAUAAAUUGAGUGGUAUUCAAGAAAAAGGCUGGUGGAGGUCAUGAAAAGGGAGAAGUGGUGGUUGCUUCCAAGUUUCUUGACAUAUGGUACCCACUGGAUGCGAGAGAAGCUCUUCUGGCUGCAUGUUUUGGUACAGGAAGCUGAUUCUUGAAAUGGAUUGCUGAUCAGCGGAAAAAGAAGUCCUUACUCUUUGAGAGUAAGAAAAAGAAAACAAUUAUGCACGCAUUUGCUCAUUUAUGAAUUUAUGGAAAUAUUCAUCUUUAGGCGAGCAUUAGUAGUUUUUUUUAGCCAAAUGGCCUAUUCAAUAAUCUUAUUUUUAAUGGUGAUUAACUUGACUAGUCAUAACGCAACCCUUUGACAAAACAGAGAUUAAGCAUGAACUAGCCAGUUUGCAGGAUCAGAUUGUGCUUGAUUGAGAAUCAAGAUUUUAGUAUCUGCAUUGGAGUAGCAAAGUGUCUGAAGUAUCUACACCAGGAGAGGACGUUCUGCAAUUUGAGAAAUUAGUUCCAGAGAAUUGGCAGCCAAGAAUGUACAUGGCUGUAGCCCGAAUGAUCAAGGGAUCAGUUCCAGAGAUCUCCUACAAAAAAAAUAACGAGGCGCUGCUGUGAAAUAUAGUUUCUCAAUUUACUAGAUCCUCAGGAUGAUAUUUCAAUGCUUCAUGCUGGAUUCCUGAAUAAAGAUGCUAAUGGGGUUUAAAAUACAGUGAUAACUAUCUGAUUGAUCUACCGUUUCAAACUUUUUGAAGGGCAGAGUAAGUCUGGAACAGCAUUUGCUUCAGCUUCAAUAGUUCUAAACACGAUCUACCUCGUCUUCAGCAGCAGGAACAGGUUCAAUAUGAUGUGAGGCGUGAAACUUGCUAGAAAUGCUAUACACUGGAGUUCUGAAACCAAAUUACUAACGAAAGCACAUUUAAGGACUCAACAAGGAGAUAACAAUUCAACAAGAGUACACAAAUCUGGACAUGCCAAGUGUGGCUAUUUUCAUGUAAAUCCAGGGAUUUACAUUAACAGCCAACUCGUUUCUUACCCUUGUCAAAGUACGAAUUAUAUGUAUUCUUCACGUUGUCCCUGUGCCAAGAGCAUAAGCAUUGCCAAGAGCAUAGGGAAACGAUAAAUAAUCAAGAAAUAUUGUUGAAACCAACCAAAAUGUUCUGCCACAUGCAUGCUUAAAGGAAUCAGGACCACCUUGAGCAGAUAUGGUGAGCUUAUCAAAUCACACCUUGUGAUGCUGGGCCCUGUAUGACACCAUAUGGAUUGUAGGUUUUUGAUGGUAUUCAACUAUUGUUGAAACAAAGACAAAAGGAGCAAUUUUUGCCUUGCUGCAUCAAAUAUGUGAAUAUCGUUUCCUGCAAUUACAAGAGGAAAGAAAGCUCUCACACACUAUGAAUAUCGUUUCCUGAGUUUUACCUGGAAACAUGCAUAAUCAAAGGUUAGUAGGUUAUAUAUGUGAAGGUUUGGGAAAGGAAACAAAUAAGAGAAUUCCUGACUAUCAGUAGCUUGGUUAGCAGAUUGUCACAACUCAGGAAAAUACUAGUAGAGUUUUCCAGCAAAAGGGAUUUACAAUUUUCAACAACUAGGUAUCUUGACACCUAUCCAAUUUCGGAAUUUUGAUUAACAAAAGUAUAACAAUACAAAGACUUGUCAUCAUUAAAGUUCCAAGUUCCAAAGUUGGCAUUUUUCAUUGAAGUCAAAAUGAAAAAUGCAGUUCCUUAGAACAAACAUGACUUAGCUGUAGGGUCUUUCAUUCUCAGUACUCCAGAUAGUUUUGGCUAAAAACUGAAGAAAGCACGUGCACAAGGAACUUGUCGAUUGGUGAUGCCAAUUUCGUUUUCAUUCUUCCUUCAUUGCAUUAAACACAAGGAAAUUUAUAAACUUCUCUGUUUCUGCUGCGUGGAUAAGGCAAUUCAAGGCCUGUUUUCUAACAUGAAAUCCAGUAAUGCACAGAAACAAGAGUUCAUUGGUGUUAAAGAAAUGUACAGAAGGAGCAAAGGAAAAGGAGGGCAUUGAUGCAAAAUAAACAGUUGAUGUUCUUGAGGUCAUUUUGAUUUCUUUUUGUUGUAUAAAAUAUUUGAUGGCUACAAGCGGGACAACAAAUAUACAUUCUCUCCCCCACUAAAAGAAGGCAAACUAGCAUGUGGGUCGAUGCUUUGGUUUGAUGCUCUAAGCUUUAUUUGCCUAGUUGAUGAGAACUUCGUCUCUUACUAUUUCUGGGAUGGUUCCAGCACUGGAGUUUGGGAACACACAAAAAGAAUUAAUCUUGUAAUUUUGGAAUUUCCCAUAACAUUGUUAGAUUCAUAUUGGAACUCAAGUUUACACACUAUGUUUUCAUGGCAUCCAGGCUCAUAACACGUUUUGAUAUGGUGGAUAAUCUAAAAAGGUCAACAAUCUCUCCAUGUAUUUUAAAUGCCUACCAAUCAAAAUCUCUGCUUCUGACUUUUGACUCUAUGAACUUGUGCUAUGGGAUAUUCGUUAAUUGUUUUAAAGCAAUACUUUAUUAUUAUUAUUAUUAUUAUUAAUAAUGUGGAUUUCUAUGUCAACUUGAACAACUUGAACGCAUCUGAUUAAUCCAUAAAUUCUGAAAAUAAUAACUAUGCAACCCUAAUGACCCUUGAAGAACUCAUUUUGAAAGCAAUAAUACUUUCCUUCAUGAGAGAUGGUUUCAGUUAGAGGAUCUAAAAAGUAGUGAAGGGAAAGUAGACAAUUCAAGCCCAAGCCCUAAUCCUCUCUUGAAAAAUUGACGGGGGCGGCUUAUAAAUAUAUCAUCUAGAAGGAAAUGAGAAUUAUCUUCAGAUUUUAUAGUCACUUUCCUUGACCUGGAGAGAAAAUACCAUUAAAAAAAAAAAACGUUGAUUUUUCUUCUUCGAAAAAGACACCGAGAGCCAAAUUCAUGAAGAAAUUUCGUUAACGUAUUUGAUCAUUUACCAAAAUUCACAUGAGACAACCUUCACUUCCAUCCUAUAAAUACCACCUCUACUUAUCUCAUACAUGUACCACAAAACCAUCCUUCAACCCCAAAUAUUCUACUCCUUGUCGAUCUUCUCUGAUCAUUCUAUCUAUAUUACAAUGGGUGUCAUCACUUUGGAAAAUGAAUUCCUCGUUGCUGUGUCUCCAGCCAAGCUUUUCAAGGCAUAUUGCCUUGACACCGACGCUCUUAUGCCUAAAAUUCUACCAGAAUAUAUUAAGAGCUCCGAGAUAAUUGAAGGAAAUGGAGGACCAGGAACUGUCAGGAAGAUUACUUUUGUUGAAGGCAAGUGUGUGUGUUAAUCUCUACCUAGUUUUUACACUUGAAAUUAGUUUAAUAUAAUCUAGCUUUUAUUUUUAUUGUUUAAAGAAGAUUGAACUUCACCUAUAGCUUCAAGUAACAAUCUAAGUUUGUUGAUCACAGAACAUGCAUAUUUUGAUCAAACAAGUAACAAUUUAAGUUUUCAUUUGCAGGAAAAGGGCUCAAUUAUGUGAAGCAAAAGAUUGAAGCAAUCGACGAAGAGAACUUCACCUAUAGCUUCA